rnacentral:lncRNA from 1 species
GGGUAAAAGCUUUGAUGAACGCCAGUGUCUGGUGUUGAGAAUCAGUGUUGGCUGACGGCAAGCAGAAGAUCAGGUGUCAAAGAUGGGGGAAGGGGAAGGGGAAGCAAAAAAUCGGUGUUGGCUUCUAAUUUUCCUGAAAAUGUCUUACCGAAUUAGAAACGGUAACACAUUUUCCAAGAUUAAGGGGUUCUUUUCCCAUAUUUUGUAAUUGAUUUUCUCUUGGGAAAAUAUUUUCAGCCAAACAAAUAAUGGAAAAGGCUGAAAAGCUUUUCCAGAAAAUGUUCUACUUCCAAACAAACAGACCUUUAGGUUUUGGAAUUUUAAAAUUUAGGUUUACGAUUUAAGUGUAGUUGUUAGAUUUUAUUAUUUAACAUUUAGAAUUAGAUUUAUGGUUUAGGAUUGUUUUUCAAAUUAUUUAAUUAGUUUUAUUUUUAAAAUAAAUUCAGUAAUGCAUUAUAACAAUUAUAUAUUUAAAUUUUGUGAUAUCAUAGCAUUUUUUUUUAUAAUUAGCUUAACUUUUUUUAUAAGGCUUUGUUUGUAUGGUGGAAAAAAAAUUGAAGUGAUGGAGAAUUAGAAAGAUGAAAAACAUAAAUUUCUUUCCCUAGGUGUACUUGGUAGGAGAGAUGGAAAGAAUGAAAAUAAAACAUUUAAAAAAUGUACAGUUUUGAGCUAAUAUACAUAUAUUUAGGGUUGAGCAAAAUUCGAUUCGAUUCGAAAAAGUCGAAAAAAAUUUCGAAUUUCGAAUUAUUCGAAUCGAGUUAAUCGAAUUAAUCGAGUUAAUCGAAUCAACUCAAAUUUUUUUCGAAUUUCAAGUUCGAGUCCAGUUGAAUUUUCUAAUUUGAAUAACUCGAAUAAUUCGAAUAAACCGAAUAUAAACUAUUUUUUAAAUUUUUUAAAAUUUUAGGCUUUUACUUAAACCCAAUUUCCCCCAAGCCCAAACAUUUUAUAUUUUCUAUUUCCCCAAGCCCGUCUGCCCAAGCCCCAAAGAUUUACUUUCCCAAAUCCCAAUUCCUCCCCCAAAUCAAACCCCCAGCAAAUUGCAAACCCCAAAUUAUUUUUUUUCUUCACUCUAUUUCCAUUCAAUUCAAAUCCUAAAAUCUAUUUUUCUCAAAAAACCCUAAAAUAAACACUCCUUCCUUCUUCUUCUUUUUAAUUAUUUUUUAGUUAUUUACUCAUUUAUUUAUUCACUUAUUUACUUCAAUUUUUUGUUGUAUGAAAAAAUAGUUUUUUGAAAAAUUUACAUAAAAAUAAACAACAUUAGACUUUUUUUUAUUUUAAAUUUAACUCGAACAAAUAUAUUUGAUUUGAUUCGAUUCGAAUUCUAUUUCACUCGACUCGAUUCGAGAAAACUUCAAAUUAAGUUAGAAUGAUAAAAUAAGAUUCUAAAAUUCGAUUAACUCGAAAAUUUUCGAUUUGAUUCGAUCAAAUGCUCACCCCUACAUAUAUUUCUCAUUUUCCCUCCUCUCAUCAUUCUAAUUUAGAAGUAUUCAUUUUUUGCAUUAGGAUAAAAAAUAGUUAUCCCUCCUAUUUUCUUUGCUCUCACUUUUCUUCCAGAUUAAACAUACUUUAAAUUUAUUUUCUUUCAACUUGUCCAUUCUCUCUCCUCAUUCACUUUUUCAUCCAGCCAAGAACACUCUAAAAUGGAAGGGGGUGUUUGAAAGUUAGAAAGUUUAUUGUUAAAUGAAAUUGAAACAAGGCUAACUCACCACCCCAUUGAGCAGGCUGAGCAAACAGUUGGGCUACAGCCUAGAGAUAUGCAUGGGUCGGGUUGGGCUGAGCCCAGACAAAAUUUUAGACCCAUUUUUAGGCUCGGGUCUAGCCCGAUCCGAAAUAUGGGCCUAAAAAUUUGUCCAAGCCUGACCCGAAAUAAAAUUAUUAAGCCCAAGCCCGGCCUGGUCCAUAUUAAUUUUUUUAGCUUAUUUCAUUAAAUAAAAAAAAUUUAAAAUAUAGUAAAUCAAAUACAUUUAAAACAAAUAUUAAAAUAAGAAACAAAUAAAAAAUGAUACUAAAACAAUUCUUAAAACAAUAUACAAAUUAAAAAUAUAAUAAAAAGUGAUUAUAUUAAAAUUGAAAAUAAAAUGUAAAUAUGAUUAAAAAUAAAAAAUAUAUAUAUAUUUAGUAUAUAAUUUGGGCCGAGCCGGGCCGGGCUGGGCUCGGGCCAAAAAAGUUUUACCCGAGCCCGGCCCAUUCUCUAAACGGGCCUUUUUUUUGCCCAAACUCAUAUUUUGGGCCUAUAUUUUUACCCGAACCCACUAAUUUUUCAGGCAGGCCUUCAGGCCGGGCAGGGUAGCCCGACCCAUGCACACCUCUACUACAGCCUAGUUCUGUGUUUUAACCGUUAAAUUAAGCUUAAAGCCCUCUUUAGAAUGUACUGAUAUGUUAUAACUUGGUACCAUCCCUAUUACAACUCCAUGGAAAUCACUUCUGUCACUUGUUUUGAAUUAGUUUUAAGACAUCUUAUUUUCUACUAGAAUUUUAUUUAUCUUUUAACUAUUAUUUAUUUUUAUGUUAUUAUAAAUUAUUUUAAUUACUUAUAUAUAAUUAUGUUUUUCCUUAUGGGUAAUAUACAAAAUAACCAAAGGAAGUCUAACUCUUAAGUUGAAAAAGGAUUCACGAAAGACAAAUACAAUGUUAGGUAGGUCAAAUGUGAAGCUUUCUUCCUUUUUUUUCUUUAGAGAUAGAAUCAUAUGUGUUACCAAGAUUCCAUGAGCAAAGACAAACAAACCUGCCAUCCCAUACAAUAUAAUACCAUUAACUAAUUACCAAUUAAAUUUCACCUUCGGGGUUAGCUCACUUUCACUUUAUUGAGGAAUAAAAUUCAAUUAGAUUUGAAAAAAUCGAAAAAAAUAAAUUUGAGUUACUUAAUUUUUUUUGAAUUAACUCGAAUAAGUAAUUCGAGUUUUAAGCUCGAGUUGAGUUGAAUUUUAUAAAUCGAAUUACUCAAAUAACAAAUUGAUAUAAAUACUCUUUUAGUUCCUGCCAAUUUUGAAAAUGAGAAAUAUGAUUUCUCCCUCAACAAAAAUUACAAAAUAAAUUCUAAAAUUUAUAUUUUUUAAUAAAAUCUAAAGAAUAUAUAAAAAAAAUUAAAAAUUUUCUAAAAUAAUAAUUUGGACACAUAAAUUAGUUCAAGUUUAUCAUACUAAAGUAUUUUUUUUUUCUUAUUUUACUUUGAAAUUUUUUUUAAAUAUAUAUGAUUUCAAAUUUAUAUGUUCUAACAUGAAAUUAGUUAUAUUGUAAUAAGAUUUUAAUUUGACAUGUUUAAUUUUUAAAUUUCACUUGAUUUGACUUUACUUGAAUUUUAUUUACUCGAUUUAAUUCGAAAAAAUUUCAAAUUAAAUUAAGAUGAUAAAAUAAGACUCAUCAAUUCGAUUAACUCAAAAAAAAAUUCACUCAAUUUAUCGACUAAGUUCAACACUCAUCCCUACUUUCUAAUGUUUUCAAGUCAACAUUCUCCUCAUUUACUUUAUUUUUUACCUACUAUUGAAAUUAUGUGUAUAUAUAUAUUUAUUUAGAAUGUUUAGUUAUUGUGGAUCAGUUCCUUUCCCCUUUUUCUUUUUCUUUUUUAAUUUAGCUUGAAAUUCUUAUCAUGUUCACAUCAGAAUUUUAUUUAAAAAGGAAAAUAUUCUUCCAUCUUCAUCUCCUGCCCUGACCUUUAGUUUUAAAUGGCUUGUGUGUAAAGAAAGAUAUGAAAUAUGAAAGAUUCUCGUGAUCAUAGGCUCUUAAAGAAAAAGACUUACUGUAUUAAUAUUACUUUUUAUGUUAUAACGAUUUUUAAAGAAUUAUAUAUUUUGAUACAUUUAUGUAUUUGUAUUGUAUUGUAUGCUAAGAAAUUUAAAUUUUCAGAAAUACAACGUAGAUGCAUAAUUAUAAUAAAAUAUCCUAAUCACUAGGUCAGCAAGGAAUCCAAAAAUAUCAACUGCCUUUAUCUUCAUCAUAACCUAAUAUUGAUCAAUGGUGCUGAUAUUUACUUGUACAUAAGACGUUUUCAGGUUAAUUACACAAUUACAUAUAAGAAUUAACCCAAAUAUUUUAUAUUAAUCAAUGGAGCACACAGUUUUUUAUUUACUGAUUCACAUUUUUUAAAAUAAAUAAUUAUAUAAUUAAAGUAGUUGGAUAUCACCAAUGGUUGGUGGCUUCAAUGUCAAUGGCUAUCCUUUUUUUAAAAUUUUCCCAUGUUUUCCAAAAAAAAUCCUUGAAGCAACAGGCCAACAGACACAUCCCCCUUUCAGUGAUAAUUAUCAAUAUUUAAAUAUGUAAAUAUUAUGGUGCACUACUUGCUUGAAAGCUGUGAAUGAAUUUUUGUCAAACAUUUCGGUUGGCUGCAGUGUUAUGGUUAAAGAGAGGCAAAACAACAACACUCAGCUCUAUGAACCUUCUUCUUCCACAUGAUGUCAAGCAAAUAACCUAACUCUGUUUGAUUGAACCACUAUUAAUCAUUCAACCAUUUCUGUCAUUUUGCAGUUUAAGAUGAUCAUACAUAUAUUAGCCAUGAAUCAAAGAUAUUGGUGAUGAUGCAGUUUUUGUCCAUAGAGUGGGCACCACCUCACCUGAUCACUAAGCUUAGAAGCAAUUCCUUAAAAGAGAUGAAGUCCGUGGGGGUUGGUGAAGCUAAUUAGUCUUCUCUUCUAUAUUUGGUGCAAAUCAAAUGACCAUACGUUACCAAGUAGCCCCACACAACAACACCAAACUUUCCUUCCUGUCAAUGCUGAUAAGGUUACGGGAUUUUGAAAUUUAAAAUAAAUAAAGAAUUGGUCAAGUUUAUUAAUAUAAAUUGACAUAUAAGCUCCUAACAAAAUCUGCUUCCUUGGAAAUGAAAUAAAUAUUAACUAUUAUAAAUCAUGCCCUUCUCAUAUUUCUUUUUAUUUUUUAAAAAGUUAAUUUAUUAAUUUAUUUAAUGAAUGAAACCAUACAAUUCAAGAAAUAAUAAUAAUAAACACUUGUUGUAGAUGGUGAAGGACAAACUCCAUCAACACAAUAAAGGCUUUAGUCUUAGCAUCAAUAAAACAUCGUGAUACGUUGACAAUUGGUUUUGUCACAUCUUAAGCACAACAUAUUUAGAGUGAUUGCAAGCACUUAAUACGAUAAGAAAAUCAACCCUGAAUGGUCCAAAGCGGCGAGCAAAAAUUAAUAAAAAAAUCGAGCAUUCAUCAAACUAGAGAAGACAACAAUAAAACUAUCCUUAAAAUCACUUGUAAAACUAAUGUUACAUGCAUAAACAAGACUGAAAAAACGUGUUACAAGAGCAGACAAAAACUUCUAAAACUGAAAAUUUAUUAAACAAUGUAAAAACAAACAAAAAAAUAUAUAAAACUUAAAACAAUACAGGUCCAAAUCGACUCAUAAAAUCAUUUAUUAUUUUGAAAUACUCUCAAAAUAAAAAUAUAUUAAGAAGCUGAUGAGAACCACCCACUAUCCAAGAAAAAUUAUUAGUGGCCGGUGGAAUUUUAGCAAACAACAUUUACUGUUAUAUGUCCAUCACAACUUGUAAAGCAUAAAGUCAUGUAGAGUCAAAAAAAAAUUGAUGAAAGGGAUAAAAAAAUGAUUUUUUAUUUUGCACAUAUCUCAGUUCCCCCAACACAUUUAAUCCUACAAUUACUUUACAAUUAUCAUUAUCAACUAAAUCAUCAAAAUUCAACAAUUUAAUAUGUUUUGACAACAUCACCUAAAAUUAUUUAUCUCAAACAUCAUAAGAUUGAUUCCAUUACAACUAUUAUAACUUUAUAUAUAUAUUCACAACUAAUCAUUCAGGAGAUAUAUUUUUCGGGUAAAGAUUUCAGUCCUAAUCAUUUUUUCUAAUUAAAAAGAUUUGUUCAUUUAAAAUAAUGUUGAAUUCUUGGUUUAAAUCAUAGUUUUGUAUUGUACGUGGCCAACAACUUAGCCAAUCGUGGUCCAGCGCGAAGGAUUUGUUAAACCAAAGAAUUCUGAAGGAUAUUUUUUCCUUAUAAGGAUUGACAUUUGCAUGACGCAGAUCAAACUCAACAUGUCCUGUUUUCUGACCUGGACCAAUGACAUUUGACUUCUAAAAGGGAGCACAAGAAAUGGCAUAUAGGCUAUCAUUCCUCCGGAGUUCACCUACUACCACCAUUGUGGAUGUGGGCCACUGGGCCCUACACGUUGCUGAGAUGUCCUCAGUCUUGGUGAAGCCCCAAAUGGAGUUAUCAGUUCCACUUUCCCUGUUUGUAUAUAUAUAUACACAUGCUGUUGGAUGGUUGGAGAAUUCAUUUAGCCCAAUUCUCUUCUCUAAUACACCCACUGUAAAAAAAAGAGAGAAAUCUGAUCAGACGGUGAAAAUGGGUAGCCUUGAAACUGAGAGAACAACCACAGGAUGGGCUGCCAGAGAUCCUUCAGGAGUAUUGUCUCCUUACACUUACACUCUUAGGUAUUCUCUAAUUUUGCUGUUUUGUUUUUUAAUUUUGUUCAAGGUUCAUUUCUGGUUCGUACAUGGUGAUUUGCUGUAAUAAUAAUCGUGUUUGCAGGAACACUGGUCCUGAGGAUGUUUUCGUUAAGGUUAUGUGCUGUGGAAUCUGCCACACUGAUCUUCAUCAAGCCAAAAAUGAUCUUGGCAUGUCAAACUACCCAAUGGUUCCUGGGUACUACUACAACUGUUUUCUUUAUGUUUCCAAGCCUGUUUCUUUAUCUUCAUGUUCAUGAGUCAAUGAAUUUCUUUUGGACUUUUUUGGAUUGUGAAUUUAUUACUUUUUUCCAGGCAUGAAGUGGUUGGUGAGGUGUUGGAAGUGGGGUCAGAUGUAAGCAAGUUCAGAGUUGGUGAUAUUGUUGGUGUUGGUUGUCUUGUUGGAUGUUGCAGAAACUGCCGACCAUGCGACUCAGACAAUGAACAAUACUGUCUCAAGAAGAUCUGGUCGUACAAUGAUGUUUACACUGACGGAAAACCCACCCAAGGUGGCUUUGCUGGUUCCAUGGUCGUUGAUCAAAAGUAAGAAUCAUAAACUAUAUGUGCUCUGCAUGUUUAUAGAGUAAUUGAACAGGCCAAGAUAAACUAGUUUCAGGGAUUAAAAAUAGCAUUUGUGACAUGAUAAACGCUAUCAGACCGAAAAAAAGUGAUACCAAAUACAAAAAUUGAUGUGAUGCUUUUGCUUAUUAGGUUUGUGGUGAAAAUCCCAGAAGGAAUGGCACCAGAACAGGUGGCACCGCUGUUAUGUGCAGGGGUGACAGUUUACAGCCCAUUGAAUCACUUUGGUUUAAUGGGGAGUGGGUUAAGGGGAGGAAUAUUGGGACUUGGAGGUGUAGGGCACAUGGGGGUGAAGAUAGCCAAAGCAAUGGGGCAUCACGUAACAGUUAUAAGCUCAUCUGAUAAGAAAAAAGUGGAGGCUUUGGAGCAUCUUGGUGCUGAUGACUACUUAGUCAGCUCCGACGCUGAAGGGAUGCAAAAGGCUGCUGAUUCACUUGAUUAUAUCAUUGACACUGUGCCUGUUUUUCACCCACUUGAGCCUUACCUUUCAUUGUUGAAACUCGACGGCAAGUUAAUCUUGACUGGUGUUAUUAACACCCCUCUUCAGUUUGUUUCCCCUAUGGUCAUGCUUGGUGAGUCUAUUUCUUUAACUUUGAACCUAUAUAUAGAUGCUUCUUUGUUGGCUGCUCUGGUUUUUUUUGAGUGGAAGGCUAAUUCUCUGUUUUCCCUGCCCAAAAUUUGUAUAGGGAGAAAGUCGAUUACAGGGAGUUUUAUUGGGAGCAUGAAGGAAACAGAGGAAAUGCUUAACUUCUGUAAGGAGGAAAAUUUGACCUCAAUGAUUGAGGUGGUGAAGAUGGAUUAUAUCAACACAGCAAUGGAGAGGCUGGAGAAGAACGAUGUUCGAUACAGAUUCGUCGUGGAUGUUGCUGGAAGCAAGCUUGAUCAAUAGAACCAAAUUAAAUACAAACACAAACUCUCUUUAAUCAACAAAGAAAUACUACAUGUUUAAACAUGACUGUUUGUCGUUGCUCUGUUUUCUCUCUUGUGUUCAACAUGCCUUGUGGUAAUAAACUAAAACAUAUAUGUACGAGUUACUUCUUCUUUUGUUAUUUCUGUUUUCCUUUUGAAGAUGGAAAUGCAUAAAUUAUAGAGCUUGUUUUCUUCUAAAUUGAUGAUGAACCAAGUCUUCUUUUUUUUUUUUUAAGUUAUAUUAGAUUAGUAGGCAAAUGACGAGGUAAAAUGAAUAUAUUUGGGGUUAGUUGGUGCCGGUGAUAUGUCCACUAAAAAUUUGGUAGUGGGUGAUGACUAUCAUGACGCUUUAGUGAGAGCGAUGCAUUACCCAAUUCUCUCCACAUAAUAUAUUCUCAACCUGCGGCCACCACUAUUCGAAUUUCUUUUUAUUUAUUUAAAAAAUCUUUAAACAGUAAAUUUAAUGAUGCAACAGGCUGACCUUUCAACUCCAUUUCAAGCAGUUUGAACUCAUUAAAUCGGGAUCGCGAGUCUUGAAUCACCAUUAUUCUACUCUAAUUUAGCUUGGUUAAUGACAGGGUUUUUGGUUUUAAAGAAAAACAGAAAAGAAAGAAUACUACCCUUUAACAAAAGGAAUCAUGUUAAGCCAGAAAGAGGAGAAGUGCCGGUUUUGUCGUUGGGCAGUGCAUAUAUUGGCUUGGCCGGCAAAUAUUUGCCAUCUUUAGUAUAUACAUUAUCGUUUAUUAGACCGGAGAUGCACGUGUAACGUUAUCAGGAUGAUCUAUUUUUUUGAAUCAAAAAAGAAAAUGUCCGUCACGUUGUGGGUCAAUGAAAUGCUUUUUAUUUGCAUUUUAAUUAUGAAUUAUUUUUAAGAUGCAUAAUGUUUUAUUUAGUUUUUUAUUUUAUAAAAAAAGAGUUAAUUUAGUUGUCUAUUGAUUUUUUUUAUUUUUUUAAUCUUUAAAAUUAUAAUUUUUAUCAAAUCACCCCAAAAUUAAUAGAAAAAUUAAUGUUUUUUUAACUUUGUUGACAUUUGAAUUGUCACGUGGAUGAUACGUCAACAUUUAAUUAAUUUUAAAAAAAUUAAAAAUUCAAAAAAAUAUAAAAAUCAUUGAUAUAUAUAAAUUAUUUUUAAAAUUUUAAAAAAUUAAUUAAUGUUGACAUGUCGUCCAUGUGGCAAUCCACGUGUAUGUCACGUCAACAAAAUUAACAAACAUUAAUUUUUCCAUCUAUUUUGGGGUGAUUUGAGAAAAAAUACAAGUCCAAGAACUAAAAAAGACAAUGAAUUAAAUGAAGAAUUAAAAUGACUUCUUCUUUUUUUUUUUGGUAAAGUUGUAGGGCCAAAAAAAUAUUAUGCCUUUUAAAAAAUAAGGUAAACGGUCACGUAAUCAUUCUAAAUAGGGCUCAUUCUUAUUUUGAUCAUUUAAAAAUUGUGUUAAUCUGAUUAUCAUCCUUAAAGAAAUUGAUCAAAUUUGCCACUUAGUUAUUAUCUCUCAAAUGCAAUACUAACAGUGCAUGUUCACAUAUUUUUUCUUGUUUUCCCCAAAAUAAUUAAUUUUUAUUAUAAACUAAGAGAAUUAUAGAAUGAACAAGAAAGAAGAAUAGAAAAUUGAAAGGAUGAUUCAACUUUCACUUGGGAUACAAAAAGCUUGUACUUGCCUUUUAUUUCUAAGGCCUCAAUCAUCAUAUAUUACAAAAAGAGAAUUAAAGCACCUUAUAAAUUCUUUAAGAGUUACAAGAGUUAUAAGAGAAUUAAUUUGGGGGGUUUUGAGAGUUAUAUGGACAUCCAUUUAACAAUGGAUUUACAACACUCCCCCUUAGAUGUCCAUUAAAGAAAAUAUGUCUCGUUAAGACCUUAUUAGGAAAAAUCUUAUGGUAUAAAAACCUAAUGAAGAAAAAAGAGUAAACAAUCUCCUAUUACAAGUUGUCUCAUUGAAAACCUUUACUAGAAAAACUAGUGGGACAAAACAUUGAUUAAAGGAAAAGAGUAUAGCGUGUGUAAGACCCCUUCCCUAUCAGACCGUCAGUCAUGAUAUCGGGAUCUCAUAUUCGUUAUCGAAACAACUAUGAUCACUCUAAAUAAUACAAUCUCAAAGCCCAAUUUCAGGCACAUGAAUGUGAUGGGCUCACACUACCUCAAGGCCCCAAAACAAGGUCAAAGAUCAACCAAAUCAAACCAAAAUUCAACCAAAACUAGUAUGUAAGGAUGAAUCUUUUCGAGAAAACGAGGAAUAAUACAUGCACGGAAUGGGUAAAUGUAUUAAAGUCAAUUCGACCAAGCUGUCAAUUUUCAAGUUGAAAAUAAACUUGCAACAAAUUUUUUGAUGGGAUCCAAGCAUUUCUAGAUUAAGAUGUCUUCAUAGCUUUCGAAGAUCUAUCUCUUAGCUUUGAAACACACUUUAAAUCACUUGACUUCGAGUUUAAGAACUCAAUUUAUGAUCGUUUUAAUGAAAAUUGCACGAGUAGAAUUUUUGGACGGGACUAUUACAAAAUUUAGGAGUUUUGGGCUUUUAAUUCGAGUUUAAAUCAUAUUGGGUUCAGGUUUUAGGCUUAAUUUAUUGUAUAUGAGUCCAAUAUUUUAUUUAUCAGCUCUUAUUAUUUUAUUAUUAUUUUAUUCUAAAAUUUUUAUAAUUAUUAAGUAUUUUAAGUUAUUUAGGAGUUUGAUGUCAAUAAGAAAGUUUAGUUUAAAACUACUUCUUAUUUAGGUUCAUUAGAUUUCUAGUAUACUUAAUAGUUUUAUUUAGAUUUAUUUAACUAACCUAUAUAAAGGCCUUUGCAUUGUACAUAAUUUAAUCAAUUCAUUAUUAUUCAACAACUUCUCUUUUGAGUAAAUAAAAUCUCUUUAGCCGCUUGAAAAGGGUUGUGGAUUCUUCUUGUUUCCAAGGCUCCUUAGGACUUCUACAUGCCACGUUCCAUCUUUUUCAUCUAUCUUCUUUAUUUUCUUUUUUAUUGUUCUAUUUUAUUUAUCUUAGUUAUUUAUUUUAAUUGGUUUCUUUAAAGUUUUUAUCUGACUAGAUUUGUUUGUAUUUCAAGUUGGGUCAGAAUUUAAGCUUAUUUCUGAACAUCUAGAGCCCUAAGUCAAAUCUACAAAUUGGACAAAUUUACGAUCAUGCUUUCGCUAUCAUUUGUAUCACCAAAACGAUUUACCAUUUUUAUUCAAGUUGAUAAGCUCAAAAUAAGAUUAAAAUAUGAUCCAAAUACUUAUCCAAACUUAAAACGAGUAUACGAAAGCUUGCUGGGCGAUCAGAGGUCAUUUAGAGACCAAAAAGUAAAAUUUCAAACUUUCGAGUGCUCAUCGCGACUUUAGGGAUUCCUCGUCGGGAUGUCACAUAUUAACUUAGCUCAUCGAAACCUCAAGGCCAUGAUUCCCACACCAAGGGCCUUGCUAAAAAUUGCCACAGGUCGACCCUUUUGGUGUAAAACAACCCUCACCCUGGUAGCACAAACAUCAACAUCCACGCAAAAUUCAACCAUAAAAUCAGGUAAUGCCAACACGAGAGUUGUGCAAACAACUUGUUUUAAUUUUUGGAAGGCUUCAUUAGUAGUAACAGUCCACUCCCAAGUCGCUUAUUUCUUGGGCAAAUCGGUAAGUGGUCGCUCAAGUGUAAACACCCCCUAACCCUUUUCUGACAUCGGAAUAGGAUUACGGAGCAUUACCGGUCACUACAGUUUAUAUCACGAAUCAUAUAAAAUUAAUCAUUAUAAAAUUUAGCAAUUUAUCUUAUUGUCUCUUAAACGGACAUUCAGGGUCCAAUAAAGAUAUUAAAAAUAAAUCGAAAUCUAUUCGGAUGCUUAUAAAAUUUUUUAUAAAAUUUUCAAAAUUUCCCUUAAUGAACAGUACCACACGCCUGUGUGAUUUUGAGAUAUGCCCGUGUGUCUAUAUGACAUGCCAGUGUUGUUACCCUGUGUGACUCACACGGACAGAACACGCUCGUGUCUUCCACCCGUGUACUUUUCCGACUUGUUGCUCAUGAACAAACUAGUUUUACACGGCCAAGACACAUGCCCGUGUGCUUAGCCCGUGUGGAUUUAUUUUCAAUUCAAACCUAGUGCAGUUUUCACACGGCCAGGCACAUGCCUGUGUACUGUGGCCUUAUGCUUCACACGGCUGAGACACACGCCCGUGUCUCUGCCCAUGUGGCCAUACCUGAGUAUUCUAUUUGCCAAAUUUUAGAUGCAGGGGACACGCAGUCUACUCAUAUGCCCGUGUAAGGGCCGUGUGUCUCGCAUAGUCUAAUCACACGCCCGUAUGCCAGGCUGUGUGGACUCAAAAUGAACCUUAUAGUUCAAGUUUACCAACCUUGCAAACUUCAGUAACAAGCAAAAUUUAAAUCUAAUCUUUCAACCAAUCCAAAACAUGAUUAAAUACACCCAUUUCACAUUAUAAUCAUCAAAAUGUUACGAUCCAACUCGAGUGUAUUAGUAAGUGUUUAACAUAAAACUUCCAGACAAUGUACUUUGGUGCUAAUUAAAUCACUUCAAAUUAGACUAUAUAAAUGACCAUAUUGUAAACAUAGACUUUGCAUUCAUGGGUUAACCAUUAUCAUUCUUACACUAUUAUCAUUCACAUUCAAAAUGAUUUCCAAAAGAUAACCUAGGUACAUGCCAUUUCUCAAAAUAAGAUACAUCACCAAGUAUUUGAAUUCGGGCUUGACUUGGAAGCUGAGUUGUUAGUCACUUUCGUAUCUAACCUGCGCACGGAAACAAACCGUAUGCUGAGUAUACACUCAGUGGUAUUUCUAUAAACCAACACUUAAAAACAAAUAUUAACACAAAAGGCAUUUAAGCUAUUAACUUCAAAUAUAAUAGCAUUACUUGUAUUCAAAGUUCUUUCUCAACGAAACAUUUAGUUCAAUAAUAUGUCAAUCAAUAACAGUGUAAUUUUAGUACAGUAGCACAGUCAUUUAGUUGUCCAGUACAGUAAAUUUAACCCUAUUAACAUAAUUCUGACUUUGGCGGAUAUACGGAUGUAACUAACACACCAGUACGGCACAUUGUGCCUUAUAGGCUUUGCCGAGGUAAACAAUAGUAGUACGGUACUAUGUACCUCAUCGGAUUAAACCAAAGUAACAGAAACAGUAGACACAUGAAGUGCCUCAUCGACACAAAGUCGAAGUAACAAUACGACACUGUUAGUGCCUCAUCGACUCAAGGUCGAAGUAUCCCUGUACACUUCCAAUCCUAUGGCAUGCCAAUUAUAUCCAACCUAGCCCGACACUAUUAAUAGGGUAUUCAUUUCACUUAAAUUUUCAGAUAACAGUCAAUAUACAUUGCAAUUCAAGUAUUCACAACUCAAUUCAAUUCAAUACAAUAAUAGCAUUACUUACCUUUAUAUUACUUAUUAUAUAUAUGUAAUAAAUGCAAUAAUAAUUUUUAAGUUCGGUUUAUAGAAAUACAAACCGUAAUUCUCGAUUUACUCUUCGUCAACCUUCUCUUUUCCUUUCUUUGUCGAUGUCUCCAGUACUAUGUUAGCUACAGAAAUUAAACAAUUCAUACUAUUAAUACAAUAACAAUUCACAAUGAAUAAUUGAAUUUCUAUUCAAUUCAAACCUCAAUUUCAAUUUAAUCUUGAUUAACACUUUUACUUCUAUCACUCACUUCAUACUUUGUCUUUAUUCAAUUUCCUAUCAUAUUCACAUUAACCAUCAAAUAUUCAUAGUAAAACUCUAGUUUCAAAUUUCUUUCAAUUUAGUCCCUCAAACAUAAAACUUAUAGCUCCUUUUAUAAUUUAAUCCUUUAAUCAAUUCUAACUUGAAAUUUAUUCAAUUAAAUCCCUAAUUCAAUAAUUUGUUCAGCAUAACCCAUGUCUAAAAAUCAUCUAACUUUCAAAAUUUCCAUUUACAUCAAGUAAUAUUUGUCUCUAGGACUCCAAAAACAUCAAAAUUAUAAAGAAAGUGACUUAAUUGACUUACCAAAUUAAACUUCAAGCUUCAAAACCCUAAUUUUUCCUUUUUCUUUUCUCCUUUCUUUUUCUCCCAAUUUUCAUUCCCACUUUCUGUUUCUUUCCUUUGUUCUUUUUUUUUAUUUUAUUAUUAAAUUAUUAUAUUAUAUUAAUAUAUUAUUAUAUUAAUUUCUUAAAUACUAAGUAUAUAAUAUAUGUAUAUUAUACAUACACAUGGAAUAAUAUUUUCCAUACAUUUGGCACUAUUCCCUUUUAUGGGUUAUUUACUAAUUUAGUCCCUUCACUUUUCUUUAGUCUAUAAUUAAACUUUUACACUAUAUUCAAUCUAGUCCUAACACUAAAUUAACAUUAAUUCAAGCUAAUUCACUUAAUUAAAAUCUAAUUAAUCACUCAACUAGCUUUGUAAAUAUUUCUAAUAAAUAUUUACGAACCUGAUUUCUAAAAUAGUAAGCUAGAAACACGAUUUCCUAUACUCAUAAAUUUCAGGUCAUUACAUUUCUCCCCCUUAAUAAAUUCCGUCCUCGAAAUUUACCUGAGAAGAGAUGGGGGUAUUGAGAUCUCAUUGUAUCUUUCGGUUCCCAUGUUGCCUAUUCAAUUUUAUGACUUUUCUAUAAUACUUUCACUAAGGGAACCUGUUUAUUACACAAUUCUUUUACCUCUACGGCUAGUAUUUUAACUGGUUCUUCUUCAUAUAACAAAUCAGGUUGAAUUAAAAUAUCCUCAGUAGAAAUAAUAUGAGAUGGAUCUGAACGAUAUCUUCUAAACAUAGAGACAUGAAAAACAUCGUGAAUCUUCUGUAAUUCCAGCGGUAAAGCCAAUCGAUAGGCAACCGGUCCCACUCUUUCCACAAUCUUGUAUGGUCUAAUAUAACGCGGACUCAAUUUACCUUUCCGACCAAAUCUCAGAAUCUUCUUCCAAGGAGAAACUUUGAGAAAUACUUUGACCUCAACUGAAUAUUCAAUGUCUCGACGUUCAAAUCUGCAUACGAUUUCUGCCCAUCAAAAGCUGCUUUCAGUCUUUCUCGAAUCUUCUUGAUAGUACCCUCUGUUUCUUGAAUCAAUUCUGGUCCAACCACUUUCUUCUCAUUCAAUUAUGUCUAACACACUGGUGACCGACAUCUUCGACCAUAUAAAGCUUCAUACAGUGCCAUUUGAAUGCUUGAUUGAAAACUAUUAUUAUACACAAAUUCAGCUAAUGGUAAAUAACGUUUCCAACCUAAUUCAAAAUCAAUUAUACAAGCUCGAAGCAUAUCUUCUAAAAUCUGGAUAACUUUUUCUGACUGUCCAUUGGUCUGUGGAUGAAAAGCUGUGCUAAAAUGAAGUCAAGUACCAAGAGACUCAUGUAACUGUUUCCAAAACCUCGAUGUAAACCGUGGAUUUCGAUCUGAAAUUAUCGAUACAAGAAUUCUAUACAGUCUCAAAAUUUCCCAGAUGUAAGUUUCUGCAAGUUUUUGAAGUGACCAAUCCAUUCUGACUGCUACAAAAUGAGCUGACUUGGUAAGUCGAUCAACAAUCACCUAGAUAGCAUUUUUCUUACUUGUCGACAAUGGUAACCCUGUUACAAAAUCCAUUAUGAUGCAAUCCUAUUUCCAUUCAGAAAUAUUAAUAGGUUGGAGUAAACUAGUUGGAACCUAAUGUUCGGCUUUAGCUCGCUGACAUGUCAAACAUUUAGCCACAAAUUCCACUAUAUCCCUUUUUAUACCUAGCCGCCAAUACAGUUCCCAUAAAUCUCGGUACAUUUUUGUUCCUUCAGGAUGUAAUGCAAAUGGACUAUCAUGUGCUUCUCGGAGUAUUAACUCUUUCAAUCCUGAAACAUUCAGAACACAAAUCUGAUUACGAGAUCUCAGACAAUGAUGUUCAUCAAUGCUGAAAUUCUCUGCUACACCACUCUGAACCAUUUCUUUUCUCUUCAUUAGCUUAUCAUAUUCUAACUGAGCUGACUUGAUUUGUUCAAACAUCAUUGGUUUCAUUCUUAAUUCAACCAAUAAGCCUCUAUCAUCACUAAUACUAAGCUAUGCAAACAUCGCUCGUAAUUCGAUUGCAGCUUUUCUACUCAAUGCAUCAGCUACCACGUUAGCUUUAUCCGAAUGAUAGUCAAUAACACAAUCAUAAUCUUUUAAAAGUUCUAUCCACCGACGCUAUCUCAAAUUCAAUUCUUUCUGUGACAGAAGAUACUUGAGACUUUUAUGAUCAGUGUAAAUGUAGCAUUUCUCUCCGUACAAAUAAUGCCUCCAGAACUUCAAAGCAAAAACCACAGCUGCUAGCUCCAAAUUGUGAGUCGAAUAAUUAUGUUCAUGCAGUUUCAAUUGCCGUGAAGCAUAAGCUAUCACUUUCCCACUUUGCAUCAAUACACAUACGAGACCAUUUAAAGAAGCAUCACUAUACACAAUGAAAUCUUUUUUUGACUCUAGUAAAGUCAACACUGGUGCUUCUGUUAACAUCUGUUUCAAUGUUUCAAAACUUUUCUGACACUGCUCAUUCCAAACAAAUGGAACAUUCUUUUGUAACAAUUUCAUAAUCAGUAAAGCUAUUUUUCAAAAUCCGUUCACGAACCUUCUAUAGUACCCAGCCAAUCCAAGGAAGCUACGUACCUCUGACACAUUUUUAGGAGUUUUCCACUGUACAAUUGCUUCGAUUUUCUUUGGAUCCACUCUAAUUUCUUCUGCUGAUACCAUAUGACCAAGAAAUACUACUUCUGACAGCCAAAAUUCGCAUUUACUCAAUUUCCCAUACAAUUGUUUCUUCCGUAACAUUUGCAAAACAAUUCGAAGAUGCUGAUCAUGUUCAGAUUCAGACUUUGAAUAUACCAAAAUGUCAUCAAUGAAGACUACUACAAAUUGGUCCAAGUACGGCUGAAAAUCUGGUAAAUUUGAUCCAUAAAAGCAUCUGGGUCAUUUGUUAACCCAAACGGCAUCACCAAGAAUUCAUAAUACCUAUAUCGUGUUCGAAAUGUUGUCUUUGGUACGUCACUUUCUUUCACCUUUAACUGGUAAUAGCUCGAUCUUAAAUUAAUCUUCGAAAACACUAAAGCUCAUUUCAAUUGAUCAAAUAAAUUAUCAAUACGAGGUAACGAGUAUUUAUUCUUGACGGUCACCUUGUUCAACUGUCGAUAAUCAAUACAUAACCACAUCGAACCAUCUUUCUUCUUAACAAAUAACACUAAAGCUUCCCAAGGUGAUGUACUAGGUCGUAUAAAACCUCGAUCCAAUAAAUCUUGCUGUUGUACCUUCAACUCCUUCAGCUCAGUUGGUGACAUACGAUAUGGAGGUAUUGACACUAGAUCCGCACCCGAGUAUACUUCAAUCACAAAUUUAACUUCCCGAUCAGGAGGUAAUCCAGGCAACUCUUCAGGGAAUACAUCAGGAAAUUCACAUACAGUUCAAAUUUUACUACAUUUAGUUUCCACCGAAUCCGAAUUAAUAACAUAUGCUAAGAAAGCAGUACAACCCUGAUAAAGAAGCUUACUAACUUUAAUCGCCGAAAUUAUACGAACUGUUCCAUUGGUCCGAAUACCAUUUACUUCAAUCUGAUCAUCGCUUUCAUUCUAAACAGUGAAUUUCUUUUUAUAACAGUCUAAAAUUACUUCAUGUUCUGAUAGCCAGUCCAUAUCCAGUAUAAUGUCAAAGUCGCCAAAUGGCAUAAUCAAUAGAUCAAUAGGAAAAAUUUUAUCUUGAAUCACUAAUGGACUUCUUCGACAUAUUCGAUUCACUAACAUUGUUUGCCCCAGAGGACUAGACACCUCCACAAUUACUCUAGACAGUUCAGGUUUUAAUUUUCCCAUCUCAACUAGUUUUGUAUUAACAUAAGAAUGUGUCGACCCCGGAUCUAUUAAAGCAUAAACGGGUUCUGAAUGUAAAAGAAAUAUACCUGUCACCACAUCAUGCGUAUCUCCUUCUUCUCGAGUUCUUACAACAUAUGCUCAGGCUGGAGCUUUAACUUCUGAUUGUUGAGUGACAACUUCACUUGUUCUUUUAACACCUCCUCUACUGACUGAACCACCUCUGCCUGACCCUCGACAUCUAGAAGCAGAUUCAGAUCUCUGUGAUACUGUUGGUGCUGCUUUAUCAAUCUUUGGACAGUCUUUUACAAAAUGAUCAGUGGAUCCACAUCGAAAACAACCUCCAGUUAAUCUCCAGCACUCACCCCGAUGUUUAUUCCCACAAUGUUGACAUUCUGGAAUUUCAGUACUCCUAGAUGGCCCUCUAAAGUUAUUAGUGGAAACUGUAACACCCCCUAACCCUUUUUUGACAUCGAAAUAGGAUUAUGGAGCAUUACCGGUCACUACAGUUUAUAUCACGAAUCAUAUAAAAUUAAUCAUUAUAAAAUUCAGUAAUUUAUCUCAUUAACUCUCAAAAUGGACAUUCAGGACCCAAUGAAGAUAUUAGAAAUAAAUCGAAAUCUAUUUGGAUGCUUAUAAAAGUUUUCAUAAAAUUUUCAAAAUUUCCCUUAAUGAAUAGUACCACACACUUGUGUGAUUUCGAGACACGCCCGUGUGUCUAUAUAACAUGCCCGUGUUGUCACCCCGUGUGACUCACACGGCUAGGAUACAUUCGUGUCCUCUACUCGUGUACUUUUUCGACUUAUUGCUCAUGAACAAACUAGUUUUACAUGGCUAAGACACACGUCGUGUGCUUAACCCGUGUGGAUUUAUUUUCAAUUCGAACCUAGUGCAGUUUUCACACGGCCAGACAAAUGCCCAUGUACUGUGGCCUUGUGUUUCACACAGCUGAGACACAUGCCCGUGUCCCUGCCCAUGUGGCCAUACCUGAGCAUUCUGUUUGCCAAAUUUUAGAUGCAGGGGACACACGGUCUACUCAUAUGCCUGUGUAAGGACCAUGUGUCUCACACGAUCUAAUCACACGCCCGUGUGCUAGGCCGCGAGGACUCAAAAUGAACCUUAUAGUUCAAGUUUACCAACCCUGCAAACUUCAGUAACAAGCAAAAUUUAAAUCCAAUGCAAAAUUUAAAUCCAAUCUUUCAACAAAUCCAAAACAUGAUUAAAUACAUCCAUUUCACAUUAUAAUCAUCAAAAUGUUACGAUCCAAAUCGAGUGUAUUAGUAAGUGUUUAACAUAAAACUUCAAGACAGUGUACUUUGGUACUAAUUAAAUCACUUCAAAUUAGACUAUAUAAAUGAUCAUAUUGUAAACAUAAACUUUGCAUUCAUGGGUUAACCAUUAUCAUUCUUACACUAUUAUCAUUCACAUUCAAAAUGAUUUCCAAAAUAUAACCUAGGUACAUGCCAUUUCUCAAAAUAAGAUACAUCACCAAGUAUUUGAGUUCGGGCUUGGCUUGGAUGCUGAGUUGUUAGUCGCUUUCGUAUUAAACUUACGUACGGAAACAAACCGUAUGCUGAGUAUACACUCAGUUGUAUUUCUAUAAACCAACACUUAAAAAUAAAUAUUAACACAAAAGGCAUUUAAGCUAUUAACUUCAAAUCUAAUAGCAUUACUUGUAUUCAAAGUUCUUUCUCAACGAAACAUUCAGUUUAAUAAUGUGACAAUCAAUAACAGUGUAAUUUUAGUACAGUAGCACAGUCAUUUAGUUGUUUAGUACAGUAAAUUUACGCCUAUUAACAUAAUUCGGACUUUGGCAGAUAUACGAAUCUAACCAAGACACCAGUACAACAAAUUAUGCCUCAUCGGCUUUGCAGAGGUAAACAGUAGCAGUACGAUACAUAGUACCUUAUCGGAUUAAAUCGAAGUAACAAAAACACUACGACACACGAAGUGCCUCAUCGACACAAAGUCGAAGUAACAGUACGACACUAUUAGUGCCUCAUCGACUCAAGGUCGAAGUAUCCCUAUACACUUUCAAUCCUAUGGCAUGCCAAUUAUAUCCAACCUAGCCCAACACUGUUAAUAGGGUAUUCAUUUCACUUAAAUUUUCAAAUAACAGUCAAUAUACAUUGCAAUUCAAAUAUUCACAACUCAAUUCAAUUCAAUACAAGAAUAACAUUACUUACCUCUAUAUUACUUAUUAUAUAUAUAUGUAAUAAAUGCAAUAAUAAUUUUUAAGUUCUGUUUAUAGAAAUACAGAUCGUAAUUCUAGAUUUACUCUUCGUCAACAUUCUAUUUUCCUUUAUUUGUCGAUAUCUCUGAUACUAUGUUAGCUACAGAAAUUAAACAAUUCAUACUAUUAAUACAACAACAAUUCACAAUGAAUAAUUGAAUUUCUAUUCAAUUCAAACCUCAAUUUCAAUUUAAUCCUAAUUAACACUUUUACUUCUAUCACUCAAUUCAUACUUUGUCUUUAUUCAAUUUCCUAUCAUAUUCACAUUAAUCAUUAAAUAUUCAUAGUAAAACCCUAGUUUCAAAUUUCUUUCAAUUUAGUCCCUCAAACAUAAAACUUAUAGCUUCUUUUAGAAUUUAAUCCUUUAAUCAAUUCUAACCUGAAAUUUAUUCAAUUAAAUUCCUAAUUCAACAAUUUGUUCAACAUAACCCAUGUCUAAAAAUCAUCUAACUUUCAAAAUUUCAACUUACAUCAAGUAAUAUUUGUCUCUAGGACUCCAAAAACAUCAAAAUUAUAAAGAAAGGAACUUAAUUGACUUACCAAAUUAAACUUCAAACUUCAAAACCCUAAUUUCCCCUUUUUCUUUUCUCCUUUUUUUUUCUCCCAAUUUUCGUUCCCCACUUUCUGUUUUUUUCCUUUGUUCUUUUUUUUUCUUUUUUAUUUUAUUAUUAAAUUAUUAUAUUAUAUUAAUAUAUUAUUAUAUUAAUUUCUUAAAUACUAAGUAUAUAAUAUAUGUAUAUUAUACAUACACAUGGAAUAAUAUUUUCCAUAAAUUUGGCACUAUUCUUUUUUAUGGGUUAUUUACUAAUUUAGUCGCUUCACUUUUAUUUAGUCUAUAAUUAAACUUUAACACUAUAUUCAAUCCAGUCCUUACACUAAAUUAACAUUAAUUCAAGCUAAUUCACUUAACUAAAAUCUAAUUAAUCACUCAACUAGCUUCGUAAAUAUUUCUAAUAAAUAUUUACGAACCCUAUUUUCUAAAAUAGUAAGUCAGAAACAAGAUUUCCUAUUCCCGUAAAUUUCAGGUCAUUACAUUAAGUAUGCCAUACCCUUAGAUAAAACAACGGUAAUACCUCGAUAGACCCAAAAAAAGGCAUUAGUUCCCUGAUGCAAGUGGGGGUUGGCUAGUGAAGAACACAAUCAAGUUUUGAAGGAUCCAUAGCUACUAACCCCUUGGUAAAUGGUAUGCCCUAAGUAGUCUACUUUUGACGCUUCAAAACAACAUUUUGAUUGUUUGGCGUAUAGCUUAUGUUUCCAUAAGAUUUGAAAGACCUCCCUUAAAUGAGAUAAAUGAUCUGUCUAGGAUACAAAAUAUACUAAUAUAUCAUAAAAAAGACAAGUACUAACCUUCUAAAGAGAGGCUUGAGCACAAGAUUUAUGAGAGACUGAAAGCUCGAAGAGGUGUUGGUGAGCUCGAAGGGCAUGACAAGAAAUUCGUAAUGCCCCUCAUGUGUUUUGAAAGGUCGUUUUAUGAAUAUCCAGCUCCCACAUGCGAAUUUAGUGAUAACACGAAUGUAGGUCUAAUUUAGUAAAGAAACAAUCUUACCCAAGCUCAUCCAACAAUUCUUUGAUAACAAGAAUGGGAAAACGGUCUAAAUGGGGAACUUUGUUUAGUAACUACUUUGGAGAAUAAGAGGUCGAUAAAAUAUGGAUGGAACCAGGUUGAAUACCGCUUAAGGAACACAGUUGAUCAUAGUGUCUAAACUACAUGGUUAAGGGCAAGAAGUUCCAUUCAAUGGAGCCUAAUGAAUGUAACCAUUGCCUACCCAAAAUGAGGUCACAACCUUUUAAAGGUAAGACCAAAAAGUCAGUAGAAAAUUUACUACCUUGGGCACUCCAAUUGAUGCUUCGACAUAGUCCCUCAGUCACUAACCUUUUUUUUUCCAUUUGUUAAAGUGACCUUAAGCUUGGCAAUGAGGUUGACGUGUAAAUUGGCUUUCCAUUCCAUUUGUGUCCGCAAAAUUGUGAGUGUUGCCAAGUAAACCAAAAUGAUAGCCCAAACCCCAUUAACCUGAGUUAAAACCUCAUAGUAUCAUUCCUUAUGAGCCUUGCAUGGCAUGCAAAAAUAGCACUAGUGUCAAAAGGGAAUCCCCCUCUGUCUCUGGUUCUUCCAGUGAUUCUUGGCAAUCCUCGAGUACUUCCCCAUCAACAUUGUUUCAAGGUUCCAACACUAGAUGAUAUAGCUGGGACUUAUUGCAUUUAUGGCCUUUGACAUAUUUAGCCCCACACCAAAAACAAAGUCAUUUCCCUCUUCUAUCCUUGAUUUCAGCUUACGAUAGUGUUUUGGUAUGCACCUUUUUGCUAAUAGUGUUGGCUAGGGUUUGGUUGGAAAUAAAUGGGAAGGUCUAGUGUAACACCCCUAACCCAUGUCCCUUGUCGAAAUAGGAUUUUAGAGCAUUACCGAAGUUUACUGAUCAAAUAGAUAUAAAUUACAAACAUUUCAUAUCAUAUAAUAUUCAAGUCAUAAACCAAUCAAACUCAUAUAUAUUGUCCCUUAUUCGAGCCCUUGAGCCAAAAUCACGUAUUAGAAACAAAUCAAGACUAAUUCAGAAACUCGGGAAAUUUUUCAAAAAAUAUUAAAAAUUUUCAAAGCUACAGGGUUCACACGGGCAUGUGGCCACCAGGCCGUGUGACUCACACGGCCAGGAGACACGCUCGUGUCUUAGAUUGUGUGGGCAUUCAAAAUAGGGACACAAGGCCGUGUCCCAACCCGUGUCCAUGCCCGUAUAACUCUCUGACUUGGGUCACACAGCCAAGCCACACGCCCAUGUGCCAGACCGUGUGCUUUUUCGAAAUGGCUUCGCACGCCCGUGUGCUAGCCGUCUGUCUCAUACGGCCGAGUCACACACCCUUGUGUCUGGUCAUGUGGACUCAGAAUGUACCUUAAACAACAAGCUUAUCAUUCCCUGCAAACUUGGACACUAAGUAAUUCAAAAAUCAUUCGUUUAACCAGUUCAAAACACAAUCAAACACAUUUAAAUCAUGUCAAAACAAUCAUCCUAGGUGUCUAACCAAUGUACCUUCAUUGGUACCACAAUUAUAUCAUCAAAUUAUAUCAUUAAAGCAUUAUUCAAGUUCAAAUUAUAAACAUACCUAAUUUAAUCCAUUUUGCCUAGUUUUUGAACACUUAAACAUCAAUUUAACAUGCCAUAGUAUAACUUCAAACACAAACACAUAUUCAUAUGUAUAUUCUAAACCAUUAUUAAACUUAUAACCUCAUUUACAAUCAAACCACAAAAUAAUUAUUAUUUAGACACCCUAGGUACAUGCCGACACAAAAGGAUAAACAUCACCACAUUUGAGAUCGAGAUCGUUGUUGGAUGCUGAAUCGACGAUCAAAAGUUAAGUACCUAACCUAUGCACGGAAAACAAAACCUUACGCUAAGUAAAACUCAGUGGUAUUUCUAUAAUCCGAAUAUUUAAAGACAAGCGAUUAAAAAUGUAUAAUUGAAACAUAAACACAUAUUAAUAUUUAAAAAAUCAUCACAACUACUAUAUGCCAACUCUUUGAAUUCAUAAAUGAUAGCAUAUCAUAAUUCAUUUGUUUCACAAUAUCCCAAUUCUCAUACUUGCUAUAUAAAUAGCUUUUCACAAUUUGAUUCACAUUUCAUUCAAAUAAUGGCAUUAUCUAUUUCAUAUUCAAUUAAUGUAUCUCAUCUUCAUAUUUCAAAUCACUAUUCCAAUUUCAAUUCACAUACAAUAUCAUCCAAUAUCAAUCAUAGUACUAUUUUAUUUAAUUACCCCUAUUAACACAACUCAGACUCGGACGGAUACACGGAUCCAACCAAUACACUAGUUUGGCACCCAGUGUCUUAUCGGAUAAUUCGAAGUAGUAAAUUAACACCCAGUGUCUUAUCGAAUAAAUUCGAAGUCGUAAAUUGACACCCAGUGUCUCAUCAGUUAAACCGAAGUAAAUUGGCACCCAGUGCCUUAUCGACUCGAAGUCGAAGAAAUCCUUAAACUCUUCCAAUCCUAUGGCAUACCAUCUAUACCUGACUCAGCCCGAUAUAGUUAAUAGGGUUUCAAUUCACUUUCCAAAUACAACAAAUAUCCAAAUUUCACAUUAGCACAUUUACUCAUAUAUAUAUAUAUAUAUUCAAUUCAAAUAAUCAAUACAUUCAUAAUAUAUCACUUCAAUCCAUUCAAUCAACUUUAAUUCAAUUCAAUAUCAAAGUAUCAAAUACCCACCUCAACACUUACCAUAUGCAAUAAAUUGAAUUAUUACAAAUUAACAACUAAGUUCGGAUUAUAGAAACACAAACCAAGAAUUCCGAGCUAUUCCUCGUCGACUUUAUCUUUCCCCUUUUUAGUCGAGGAUUUCGGUACGACGUUAGCUACAGAAUUAAAACAAUUAAAAUUCAUCAAUACAAUACAAUUCAAUUUCGCAUUGCAUAUUUCAAUUUUUUCUCAAUAUUUUCCUAAUUUUCAAUUUAGUCCCUAAACCAAGACUAACUUUAUUUCUUUACAAUUAAUCCUAUACUUUCACAAAAAUUUCACUUUAAACUAAAUUUAACUCCCUAUUUUCACUUAAAUCCAUAAAUUUUGAAACUUUCACAAUUUAGUCCCUAUUAUUCAAAAUUUACAAUUUAUUCUACAAUUUAAUCCUUUUUCACUUCUAGCUUAAAAAUCUAUCAAUUUAAUCCCUAAUACUAAAAUUAUUCAACAUUAACAACAUUUAAAAACUCAAUAAUUUCUAAAAUUUUUACAUGGGUCGGGUAAUAUUUAACACCAGGAUUCUAAAAACAUAAAAAUUACAAGAAAAGAGGCUAAAUGGACUAACUAAUUGAACGUGGAAACUUUGAAACCAUAGCCUUGUCUUUUUCCUUUCUUUCUUUCCCCUUUUUCUUUUCUUUCUUUUUCUUUCUGUUAUAAUAUAUAUACUUAAAUAUUAAGUAAACAUAUUUUAUUAAUAUAUACAUAUGUAUAUUAAAUUUACAUAUGUAAUCACUAAUACCAUCCACUUGUUGAAAUAAGGUUUAAUUGCUUCUUUAGUCCUUUUAAAAAUUUUUAAUCUAUAAUUUAACUUUCACCCAAUAGGCAAUUUAGUCCUUAUACCUAAUUAUUCUUAAUUCAUGUAAAUUCACUUAACCAAAACCUAAUUAACUACAAAACUAACUUCGUAAAUAUUUUUCAUAAAUAUUUAUGAGUUCAAUUUACGAAAAUAGAGUCUCGGGAAUACACUUUUUGACACCCCUGACUAUCAGGUCGUUACAUCGAAGGUGUCCACCAUCGCCUAAGGUAAGUGGUUUUCUCCUUAUGUUAGCCAAUAUUAUCUCCACCUGCCUUGCUAGCAAAUACCCUUCUACAAAAUCUUUUGGCUUGAACAAACUUAAGUACUGCCCGAUGUCUUCCUUCAGGUUACUUACAAAUAUACUUAGUGCAUAGGGCUCGAGUAAGUGUAACUGGUUAGCUUAUAAACUCGUCGUGGUAGUGGUCGACUGUGGAUACCUGCCGAAAAGAAACUAAGUCCGCCAUAGGGUUUUAGAAAGAUGUAAAGCCAAACCUGUCUUUCAAGAUUUUUGCAUAAUUCUCCCAUUUUAAGAGAUGGAAACCACCUUAUCUUUGGGUAUAAAAAUGGUGCCAAUCAAGUGCUUUUCCUUCUAGAUUUAACAUCAUGGUACGAACCUUUUCCCCCAUCUGUUACCCUUUCUGCCUCAAAAUAUUGUUCGAGUUUGGACCACCACCCUUAAUAGUCUGUGCCGUCGAUCUUUGCGUAGUCAAGAUUAUGAGAGUGAAACUGAUGGUCAACGUAAUCUCCACGUACAUUUGAGUGCAAGCUGUCGAGUGUCAUAGUCGGUGUCACCAGUUAAGCUACCCUUAGUGGAUUGCCCAAAACCCCUUUAUACUUAUCCUAUGAUUAGCUCGAUACAGGAGUAGAAGGAUGUAACACCCCUUACCCGUAUUCAUCGCCGGAAUAGGGUAGGAGGCAUUACCGGAGUUUACCGAAUUAAUUUUCCGUUAAUACGAGUUAAAUACUAUUUAUUAACUAAAACAUGUCAUGGUGUCCUUUAGAUGGGCCUCCAAAGCCCAAAACAUACUUCGAGACCAAACUAGAAUUAAAUCGAAACCAUAGGGAAUUUUUCGCAAAAUCCCAAAGUGUUUUUUUUUUUUUGCUCAAUAUAACCCUUUUAUAAAUAUCUAACCUUCCCUGCAAUUUUUAAAACCGAGACCAAUCCAACCAACCAAUUCAUUUCAAUCAAUUUAAUACAAAAUUAUACUUCUAUUAUAAUUAUACUAUUUAACAUACUCAUCAUUCUUUACUUUAAUGUAUAUUCAUUAAACAAGUCUCAAUAUUUAUAUAAUCACCAAGCCUUAUACAUGCCAUAUAAAUCAAAAAGGAAAUUUACAAAAGCUACCGGAGAUAAUCUGGAUAGUGUGAUCCUCUGUGUUGAUCCGAUCCUCCGUAUACUUCCACGUCAAUCUACAAGAGACAUUGAAUACACUCAAAUAAGCUUAUAAAAGCUUAGUAAGUUCAUAGGCAUAAAACAUAAAUCUUACCAAAUAUUUAUACACUUAUACUAUAUACACAAUUAUUAAGUUCACCUGUCAAUCACAGUCAUUGGUGAGUUCCCUAUAUAAACUCACUACCACUUAUCCAUUUCCAUUAAUUCUUUUAGGCCCAUUUUUCAUAUAUCAUUCUUUAACCAAAUUAGGGAAUGGUAAAGGAAAAUUGAGUACUUCACUUUCACUUUGCCAUAGUAUAACUAUGGUCUUGCAUAUGAUCACUUAUCACUUUUUAAAAUCAUAGCCCUGCCACGGUCUUACACUGAUCACUUAUCACUUGUCACUGAUCAGAUAAGAGUAGCUAAGCUACCACUUAUCAUUUGUCACUUAUCACUGAUCAGAUAAGUGUAGCUGAGGCUACCACUUAUCACUUAUCACUUGUCACUGAUCAGAAGUACUCAAAUUCGACAUUCCACUCAAUUUGAUCAUUUAUUCGAUUUUCAGGUUGUUAUUUUAUUUUCUAUUCAUCAAUAAAUAUAUUUCAUCAUACAUUAGAUAAUUCAUAAAAUUAACAUAUAAUCACUACAACAAAACUGACUUUUAGCGGCGUUUUUUAGGCCUUUAGCGGCACUUUUAAGUGCCACUAAAACUAUUUGCGACGUUUCUCCAAGCACCGCUAAAAGCGCCGUUAUUUCCAGCGCCACUAAAGUUUGCGGCGUUUAUUUGAAAAAACGCCACUAAAGAUCAUGACCUUUAGCGGCGCUUUUCUCAAAAACGCCGUUAAAAAUCAUGAAAUUCAAAAAAAAUAUUAUAAAAGUCGUGAAAAAUAUAAAAAAUUUAAAAUUCAUUAUCAAAAUAUUGAAUGAUAUAAAUAUAAAAAUUUUCUAUUAAAAUUUUAACUUUAAAACUAAAUACAAAAAUUAAUGAAUUUAAAUUUAGAAUUUAAAAUAAUAAAUUAAUAACACAAUUAAAAUCUAAAAGUUAGAACUCAAGUUAUCUUAAAUAUUAAAAUAAAAAUAAAAAUUUAGAAUCAAAACUAAAAUAAAUAAUAAAAACUAGAUUAAAUAUAAAAAUAUCAAUAAAAUAAGAUAUUAUAAUGAAGUUACUUAAAUGAAAUAAGGAAAUGCAUUAGAUUUGGCGACAUUUUCUCUCCACCCUUUCUAACGAGCUCUUAUUUCCCACAUUGCUGUUAAUUUCAUUUGAGCCGAUAGUGCUUCUUCAGCUUUCUCCCUUACUUCUUCGCACGUCUCCAUACCCGAAUUGCAUUUGUCCGCUUCCUUUUGAUAUUGUGAUGCUAACUUCUUAGCCUCGAGUAAAAAAAACAUUUAUGUAAAAAAUUAUAACAAUUAAGCAUUAGUGACAUACAAUUAACGAUCAAAAUAAAAUAAAACAUAUAUGUAACAAAUAAAUUGUUGGUCAGAAAAAGUUGUAAAAAAUGAAAAAAGGCAUUUGCAAUCAAUCUUAAAAUUAGAGGUGAUCUAAAAGGCAUAGAAAAUAAAAUGUAAAAUUUCUUUGUAUUAAGUUACUUUGUCCCAUUUUCCAAUAAAUACAUCCAUCCAUGACAAAGAAACAGGAAACUGACCUGUAAAGGAAGCCUCAGUCAUGUAUUAAUUAAAGAUAGAACCAUAAAAUUAGCUUAAUUCUGCUGGGCAAAAUUGCCAAAGAUCAGAUAAUUAACAUUUCCAAAUACCCGAUUGCUAUCUUUAAUAAAAAUGGAAACUUGGAACUUUGCAGGGCAAGUAGCAUAGAGAAUGCUAAUACAAAGCAACAAACAUAAUAGAAAGAAAGGCUAACAACAGCUUGCCAUGCAUGUAAGCAUUCAUAAAACAGGCAUGAGUUUCAACUUUCAAUAAAUAGCUGCAUAACUACCAAGCAAAACCCCAUAGCCAAGGAAAUGCAUAAAAAAACAUGACACCUGAGACAAGUGGCUUUGGCAAAAAAAGAAAAUGCAAAACAAAGGAACUAAUAGCAUAACAAGGGACAAAGAAUUGAUUGACACUACUAUCAUCUAAAAAUUCAAAAUGAAAGACAUAAAUGUAGAAGUUCGACAUUAAAGGACAUAAAUGCCAAUGUUAAAGAAACUAGACCACAGGUUAAACCAGUUGGUUUGAUUGUUUCUUAUUUUAUUUUUUAGAUUUAAAUUAAAUAUUAAAUUUUCAUAAAUUAAUUGUAUCUAAUUAAAUUAGUUUGAUUCAAUAUAAAUCUCGACUUGACAACGAUUAUGACUUAUAUCUGUUUGAGAAAUUAAAAUAAAAAAAAUUGAUGAAUUAAGAAAUAAGAAAUUAUAUUAUAUAUAUUUCUAAAUCUAUAAAAUCAAUGAUAAUAAUACAAUAUAAAAAUUAUUUGCAUGCAGAAUUGCAAACGCUUCCAUUAUCCAAAACAAAUAAUCAAAUUCAGAUCAGGUAUGACUUGAGAAUAUUAAAAUUAAUACCAUUAAUCUGGUGUAAAGAAAUUAUUUUAAUAAAAUAAAGCUACUGUUAUGGCCAAUUAUUAGCUUGGUCCUGAGAUGCCCGACCCUACUCACCUAACCAACAAUAUCAGCUCUCUUGGUGUCUAUACUUUUAUGGAAUAUGAUGUUAAUAAGCAGGCCAUGCAUGAAACUCACCUUAAUGCAUUUUACUAUUUGAUUGACUUUUUAAAGUUACACUAUUGCCUCACAAAUACUUAACCAACUUAAAACUACUACUACUAAUAGAAACCCUGUAUGCACCAGAAGGGACUAAUAUUCCUAAUCACUCAAAACAUAUCUCCAAUUACCAUUAAAUAUAGAUAUAUAUCAAGCCAACCAAACAAAUCAUUUCAUUUCUCUCAUUCAAAGAUAACCUAAAGAUACUAGCACAUCAAACAUGAAAGAAAGCGAAACUGUGGAAUUUGGUUUCAAAUUUAUUAUCACAUAGGAAGGCACAUAUUGCAUCAUCCUGAUAAGAUUGGAAUGGCAGACACAAGCAAGAAAACAAGCUAAUUUUUUUAACAGUUCAGAGAUUAAAGUAGUUCAAAAUCUAUAAUGGCAAGUAAAAUGAAUUUAAGUGAACAAGUUAUUUGAUAGAGAGCUUCACUUCAUCUUUUUAAUUCCAUUUGAUGAGAGAAUUAGAAGACCUUUUCGUUGUUAGCAGCCAAAAUAAAACUUUACAUGAUCCAGUAGUGCCUUCUUCUGAGCUUUCAGAAUAUAUAAAAACAGGGUUUAUCAUAUUUCAUGAAUUAAUGUUAUCAAAUUUCAUUCCUGUGGAAACUAUGUAUAUAAAUAAAACAAAAUAAGAAUAAAUUGUAAUAGAUUAAUACAUGUGAUUAAAAGUAUUAAUUGAUUCAUUUGCUUCUAAAAAUCUUACAUUUCAUCUUAAUUCCAGAAUGCUCCUUUACUUUUUAUAUAAAAAGAAUCAUUGCAAAAAUUCCAUGAAUACACAACAUUUUUACUAAAUUAAGCAUGCAUAAAUAAAAUCAAUGCCAGAACAUAAUUAAAUCCAUGUCUUUUUUUAGCAUGCGUACAUACACAUAAGCAUAUUUGCAUAUCACAUCAUGUAAUACACAUGUCCUAAAACAUUCUCAUUCGAUCACCUAAAGUAAGUAAAUAUAGAAACCUUGUUUUCAUCACUCACUAGUAUCAAUUUGAUCUUUCUAUUUCCUAGCUUUAGCUAAUAUACCUUGGUUAACAGAAAGUAGAGUGAACUUACGUGUUAUCCGAGAAGCAACCGAUAUGAUAAGCUUCAGGGGCAUUAGAACCUUGAUCUAAUAUAAGAAAUCAUUUCAAUUAGAGACAAAGAAAUCGAUAACUUUACCAUUCACUGUCUGAGAGCAGAAAGUGUGCUGCAAAAGCAUUAGAAGCUGAAUAUAAAAUUGAAAAGAAAUUUUAAAAAAUAACACACAUUUAUUUGAGAGAUAAAACAAAUUAAAAUGAAAUUGAAGUGUCCAUAAACUUACAGCUACAUUAUUCAAAAGAGCGGCAACUUCAAGCAUGGAAGAUCCAGGCAAAUUGCUCACGAAUCUGUAGGUUAUAGUAUUUUAAUCAAUAGGAUUUGCAAUUAGAAGAUUAAAUUUAAAAAAUUGGGAAAUUUGAGAAGAAAAAAAAAAGAGAUUAACUAACUGUUCUCUGAGGUGCUUGUUGGGAUUCAAAGAUCUUGGGAAGGAAUCCAUUGACGAAGAGUUUGAAAACGCAGUUGUGAAUUUAUUACAGAAGAUCAGAGCUAAGCAAGUAAAACAGGAAAAAAAUGGAGAAACUAGAAUCAAGUUUCUAUAAUAUUAUAGAAACCAAAUACCCCAGUAAGAGAGGUGGAAGCGUGAAAGGACAGCAUUUUCUAUUAACUAAUCUUCUAUAUUCAAAGAAAACAUAAUCUGCUGAUGAAUACCUUUAAGAGGAAAAUAGUGUUCACAUCACGACUAGAAUUGUAGUCCUCUCAAGAUGGCUGCACAUUACAAGGGAAAAUUGACACAACAAUAUAAAAACAAUACAAAAAGGACAGAGCAAUUGAUGUUCACAGUAAGGUUAACUGUUGGCUACUAGUGUUAUUAAAAAAGAAAAAACAAAAUCAGCAUGACCAAAUUCCAAAUAUGUGCAGUCAAAAUUAACACCAAAACUUGUUAAGAACCAACAAAUUAAGUUGAACUCAAAGAUCAUUCUGAGCGAUAAUUAUGAAAUCUACAACAAAAAUACAUAAAACAAUAAAGGAAUAUAUAUACAUAAAGGACCAAGGAGAGCAACAAAAUCAUGCAAGAACUUCUAUCCUCUUCCAUAAUGGACAAACUUAGCAAAGUACAAGUAAAUACCUUCUUAGAAGACGAAAACAAACUGAAGCUGUGAAUAGCUUCAUUCCAAGCAUCACAUAUUGCAUUUAAAGGAUGCAGGGAUUCAGCAAUAAUGCAUUGUAGUAUCAAGCACGUCACGAGAUUGAGGUUGCCGAAUGAGUUACCAGAGCAACAGUAUUUCUAGUUGUUGGUGGCCGGUGAUUAGCUGUGUUUUCUAGCCGCUCCCAUGCUUUUUUCCGUUUCUCGGAGGAUUUGCUUAGCUCUGCUUUUUCUUCCUUUAAAUGAAUAAGGCAAGACAUGAAAAAUCCAUCAUCAAUAUCCAUGAACAUCUUCCUGACAUUAUCUAGACAUCUCAAUUGUUGUAAAACAAAGACAUGUAACUGAAAAGUUUAACAGCUACCCUCAUUUUAAGACAUCAGUAAGUCCCCACAAAACUAUCGCUGGGCACGGAGUUGACCGACGUAUGUUACAUUCAGGUCAAACAUAUGUAACUAAGCUCGGUCUUAUUUAAGCCAACCAUAAAGCUGCAAACCCUUAGUUUAGACGUUAUGUAACUCGUUAAAUUGGGGCCUACCCCUAAGUUUUCUCGAGUUAUGCUCACUUCUGGUCAAAACUCAAACAUGGCGGUGGUAUGGUAGAUCAGUGUCAAAUCAUAAAACAUAUCAUCAGACUAGAAGAUACAUCUAGUCAUUACAGGUCAAACAUAGAGAUAUAACUAAGCUCAGUCUUAUUUAAGCCAACCAUAAAGGUACGAACCCUUAGUUUAGACAUUAUGUAACUCAUUAAAUCAAGGCCUCACCCGCCCUCCUGAGUUUUCUCGAGUUAUGCUCACUUCUGGUCAAAACUCAAACAUGAUGGUGUAUGGUAGAUUAGUGUCACAAACAUAUCAUUCGAUUCAAAGAUAACAUCUAGUCAUUACAUUUCUUAACAAGUUAAUAGAUGCGUGUUUUAAGGCAGUAUCGUAAAAGGAUCAAGAUGAGAACAUACUAGGCACAAGAUGUAUAAUCAAGGCAAUAAUGAGAUGCAAAGUGAGCAUAUUAAGGUAUAGAGAAAUUUACCUGGAAGUGGAAACUGUUAAUGCAACGACCAAUCUGCCAAGACAAUGGGACCAUAACUUUUUGGAAUUCCACCAUGUCGAUUUCUUCCAAAAUAUCCUUCAACUCGUCGAGAAACAUCACCUCCUUCUGGCUGUUUGUUAUUGGCCAGUACUUCAAUAGCCCCUUUAUCACUAUACUAGAUAGCUUCGGGUCCUUAUCGAUGAACUGAGUGACACAAUAAGACAAUUGUUGAAAGUAAACUCCCAAAGUUUUUGGCUUGUGCAGCGGAAUCAAAACCCUCUGCAAGAAGAUCUUAUGCUCCUCCUUUAAAGGCAGAGCGAAUCCGCUGAUUAUACUCCCAAAAUGAAACCCUAACAGAUCGAGAGAAAAGGAGUAGCUAUGGUGUAUUGACUUGGUGUUGCUAGAAAUGGGAAAUUUGGGGGCAAAUUUUGAGAGUUAUUUGGGGGAUUUUGGGACAAACGAGCGGCUAAUCAAAAAUUGGGGAUUUUGAUUUUUUUUUACGGCGUUUUCAUUAAAAACGCCAUUAUAGCUUAAUUUUUUGUGGCGUUUUACUUAAAAACGCUACUAUUGAUUAAUUUUAAUUUUUUUUCAUUUUUAACAUAUUUUUUUAUUUCUCUUUCAAAAUUUUUGUGCUGAGAUUAUUAUCUUUUUGAAUUUUUUUAAAAUUUUAAAUAUUGAAAUUUUUAAUUAAAAUAUUGAUUACAAUAUUAAUUUUUUUAUUUUUUUAUUUUUUUAUUUUUUAAUUUUAAUUUUUUAUUUUUUAUUUUUAAAUUUUUAAAUUUUUAUUUUUUAUUUUUUUAUUUUUUGAGUUUAUUUUUUAUUUCGGUUUAAUGUGUAAUUGUAGACGUGAAAUUAUAAUUGUGGUUUAAAUGUAUAGUUGAAACUUUAAUUUUAAUUUAAUCAUACACAUUUAAAAAAUAAAUACAUCAAUAUAUUUUUAUAUUGAAUAAAUAUAAAUAUUUAUGUAUCCAUGCAAUAUAUAAAUAUAAAAUGAUGUUAUAUCAAUAAUUGUGUAAAAGAAAAUGAAAAAACGUGGAGACACAAAUAUAUAUUUUAAAAAGAAAAUGAGUUACAAUUAAAAAACGUGGAGACACAAAUGAGUGCAGAGAAUUUUUGUUCGUAUAAAUAAAUAAAUAUUUUAAUUAAUCAGUUUAGAUAAAUAUUAAAAUAGUAUAAACAAAAAACUAUUAAUAAAAUUUAAAAGGUAAACUUAUCAUUUAAAACGUUUUCCACAAAAUAUCCCUUCAAUCCAUUAAAUUAAUUAUAGGGUUUAGGAUUUAAUUAUUGAAUAUGAUUCACUUGAGAUUAAUAUACUAUAUACCCAUGGCCAUUAAACCUUAAACCAUAAAACCGUAAACUAUAGACCUUAAACCUUAAAUAUUAAACCGUAAACCAAAAAAUAAAUUUACUCAAUAUUAACUAUUGCUUCCAUAAUUUAUUAUGAACAUAAGCUUUUACAUUAAUAUAUAUGUAUAUACACAUCAACAUCCAUGUGAUGUUUUUUGGGGUUUAGGGUUUUAAAAGUUAUAGUUUAGUAUUUUGGGGUUUAGAUUUUUAGAGGUUAUAGUUUAGUGUUCAUGAUUUUUUUGGGGGUUUAGGGUUUUAGGAGUAAUAUGACUUUUAGCGGCGUUUUAGCGAAAGCGCCGCUAAUGCUCCGACUUUUAGCGGCGUUUUACCGAAAGCGCCGCUAAUGCUCUGACUUUUAGCGGCGUUUUACAGAAAGCGCCGCUAAUGUUACGACUUUUAGCGGCGUUUUACCGAAAGCGCCACUAAUGCUCUGACUUUUAGCGGCGUUUUACCAAAAGCGCCGCUAUUGCUCUGUUUUUAGCGGCGUUUUUGAUGAAACGCCGCUAUUGCUCUAUGUUUUACAAUUUUUGCAGCGUUUUUUGAUAAAACGCCGCUAAAACCCUAUUUUCCUGUAGUGAAUCAUUAAACUUCAACCAUAUGAACUUACCUGGGUCGAUUUGUAAAAUUUGUGAAAAUUCAGGGACUAAUCAGCUACUUUUUCUUUUCCUCGACUUGCUUCGGGUUCUCGAUCUAUCAUUGUAAAAUCAUUCAUUUAUCAGUAUUGACUUCAUCUUCAACCCACUUAUAAGUAAUAUUAUCUAUAAUUUAAUUGUUUACUUAUGUAUAUUCCAAUGUUGUCCAUCAGUGUCAUAGUCACUAAAUUAUUUUUAUCUUUAGCUACAGAACUCAAAAUUAGGAUCCGCUAAUUUUAUCUCAAACUAGACUCAUAUAUCUUCUUAUCAUAAAAUUUUUAGAAUUUUUGGUUUAGCCAAUAAGUACAGUUUAUUCUUUAAAGUCACCCCUGUUCUGCUGUCUUACAAUUCCGACCCUUCUUCACUAAAAAUUAAUUAUCUCUUCGUACAGAAUUCGGAUGAUGUCCAUGUUUGUUUCUAUUGAAAAUAGACUCAUUAAGGAUUUUAAAAAUAUAAAUUUAAGCCCCUAAUUAUUUUUAUCCAAUUUUUUAUGAUUUUUCAAAGUCAGAACAGGGGAUCCCGAAAUCAUUCUGACAUUGUCUCACAAAAUCUAUUAUAUCUCAUGAUCUACAAUUCCGUUGCUUACACCGUUUCUUCUAUGAGAAACUAGACUCAAUAAGCUUUAAUUUUAUAUUUUUUUCAUCUAAUAAUUCGAUUUCUACAAUUUAUGGUGAUUUUUCAAAAUUAGACUACUGCUACUGUCCAAAACUGUUUUAGUGCAAAUGUUGAUUUCGAUUUUUGCCCCAAAUUUCACAGUUCAUACAAUUCAGUCCUUGCUCAAUUAAUCCCUCAAUGAAGCUAAUUAUUCCCAAUUAAUGCUUUACCUUAACAUUAUAAGUUAUUUCACAAUUAUUUAAAUUCAGAAUUUCCACAUAAAACUCUAACUUCAAACUUUUUCACCUUUAGAUCCCAAACAUUCACUUUCUAUUCAAUUCUUUCAAUAAAAUCAGCAUAUAAACAAUUUAAAACUCUAAUUCCAUGCUAAAUCAUCAUAUAAUUCCAGCACAUAUUCAUAUCAACUUUCAAUUUCUUUCAUAGAAUCAAAAACUAAUGAAUUCAACAAGUGGACCUAGUUGUAAAAGUCAUAAAAACACAAAAAUUUCAAGAAAUAAUCAAGAAUUGAACUUACUUGCAGUAAAAAUAUGAAAAACAGCUUAAGAAAACCCUUCUAUGGUGUUUUUUCUGAUGAGAAUGCAGAAAAAUAAUGAGAAUUCUAGAUAAUUCCACUUUAGUCCUAGUUUAUUAAGUAAAUUUUUGCAAUAUUCUAAUUUUUCCCUUAAUUCAUCAAUUUUCCUGCUGAUUUCAUGCACCUUGCCGUCCAGCCCAAAUAGGCCUGGGGUCUAUUUGCCUUUUAAACCCUCUUUCUUUUAUCAUUUAAGUUAUUUCAUCAUUUCCCAUAAUUUUACAUUUGUUACAAUUUAAUCCUUUUUAUUCAAUUAACUAUCAAAACUUUAAAAUUUCUUGACGAAACUUUAAUACUAACUUAUUAACACUCCAUAAAUAUUUAUAAAAAUAUUUAUGGCUCGUUUUAAAAAUUUUCAAAUUCUCGAUAUCUCGUUUCCGAUUCUAAUUUAAUUUUUUUUUCAAGUACACUAUUCGCUAUUUCAAAAAUUUUCCUAACUUCACACUUAACUUAUAUUCACUAAAUUAUUAAUAUUUUCUACUCAUUUUUCGGAUUUAGUGAUCUCGAAUCACUAUUCUGACACCACUGAAAAUUCAGGCUAUUACAAUUCUCCCCCUCUUAAGAAAUUUCGUCCUCGAAAUUUGUUACCUGAAAAUAGGUUCGGAUAUUGUGAUCUCAUUGAUUCCUCUGUUUCCCAGGUUGCCUCCUCCACACCAUGUCGAUGCCACAACACUUUUACUAACGGUACCCGUUUGUUCCUUAACUCUUUAAUUUCCCAAGCUAGAAUUUUCACCGAUUCCUCUGAAUAAGUCAUGUUGGGUUGGACCUCUAUUUCCGUAUGAGGAAUUACAUGUGAUGUAUCUGAUCUGUACCGUCUCAACAUAGACACAUGAAACACGUUAUGAAUCUUUUCAAGUUCCGGGGGCAAAGCCAAUCUAUAAGCUACCGGACCGAUUCUUUCAAUGAUUUCAUACGGCCCAAUAAAUCGUGGACUGAGUUUUCCCUUUCUACUGAACCGCAAAACUUUCUUCCACGGUGACACUUUCAAGAAUACACGAUCACCCACAUUAAAAUCUAUAUCUCUUCUCUUUAAAUCUGCAUAUGAUUUUUGUCGAUCGGAGGCAGCUUUUAAACAAUCUCGAAUAAUACGAACUUUUUCUUCUGUUUCCCGAAUCAAGUCCACUCCCAUUAGUUUCCGUUCACUUAAUUCAGACCAAUAUAAUGGAGUUCUACACUUUCUUCCAUACAGAGCUUCAAAUGGUGCCAUUGUAAUACUAGUUUGAUAACUAUUAUUAUAAGCAAAUUCGACUAAAGGUAAAUACCUUUCCCAGCUGCCGCCAAACUCAAGUACACAACACCUUAACAUAUCUUCUAAAAUCUGAAUCACUCACUCUGACUGCCCGUCUGUCUGAGGAUGAAAAGCUGUGCUGAAAUUUAAUUUAGUGCCCAAAGCCUCCUGUAAUUUAUUCCAAAAUCUCGAAGUAAAUCUCGGAUCCCUAUUUGAAAUAAUAGAUACUGGAACUCCAUGUAAUCUCACAAUCUCAGAAAUAUACAAUUCCACUAACUUCUCCAAUGAAAAAUUUGAUCUGACUGGAAUAAAAUGUGCCGACUUUGUCAAUCUAUCAACGAUAACCCAGAUUGAAUCUUUCUUUUUCGGAGUCACAGGCAAUCCUGAUACACAAUCCAUCGUAAUGUGUUCCCACUUCCAUUCAGGAAUCAUAAUAGGUUGUAAUAAACCCGUUGGUACUUGAUGCUCUGCUUUCACUUGCUGACAGAUUAGACAUUUUGCAACAAAUUCACAAAUCUCUUGUUUCAUACCAGGCCACCAGUACAUUCUUUUUGAAUCGCAAUACAUUUUUGUACUACCCGGAUGAAUAGAAUACUUACUAUUAUGAGCUUCAGCAAGAAUAUCAUUUUUCAAUUCUGAAUUAUUCGGAACACAAAUUCUAUUACGAUAACGCAACAUACCACCAUCAUCAACGCUAUAUUCUGAACUCAAAUUAUCCUGAACCGUUUGUCGUUUCAGCACUAGUUUCGAAUCAUCACUCUGUAAUUCACGGAUCCGUUGAACCAUCUUCAUUAAUAGACAAAUGAACAUUCAUUGCUCGAAGUGCAAACAAUGAUGAUUUUCGGCUAAAUGCAUCAGCGACCACAUUAGCUUUCACUGGGUGAUAAUCAAUAACAAGAUCAUAAUCUUUCAAUAGUUCGAGCCAUCGUCUCUGUCUCAAGUUUAGCUCUUUCUGUGACAUCAAAUAUUUUAGACUUUUAUAAUCGGUAUACACAUAACAUUUUUCCCCAUAUAAAUAAUGUCUCCAGAUUUUUAAAGCAAACACAAUCGCGGCCAACUCCAAAUCAUGGGUAGGGUAAUUUUUCUCGUGUGGUUUUAAUUGCCGAGAAGCAUAUGCCACUACUUUCCCUGACUGCAUUAAAACACAACCCAAACCAUUUAAAGAUGCAUCACUAUACACAACAUAUGGUAUACUUGAUUCUGGUUGAGUUAACACGGGAGCUUCUGUCAACAUUUUCUUCAACUGGUCAAAACUUUGUUGGCACUUUUCAGACCAUACAAAUUCAACAUUCUUCUGAAGUAGUCGAGUCAUCGGCAAGGCAAUCAUUGAAAAUUUUUUAACAAAUCGGCGGUAGUAUCCCGCUAAUCCCAAGAAACUCCGCACUUCUGUUACGUUCUUUGGUGUUUUCCAAUUCACCACUAAUGACACUUUACUUGGAUCUACUCGAAUUCCUUCAGCUGAAACAAUAUGACCCAGAAAUCCAACCUCCUGUAGCCAAAAUUCACACUUGCUGAACUUUGCAUGCAACUGCUUCUCUCUCAAGGUCUGCAACACACUUCUCAAGUGUUGUGCAUGAUCAGGCUCGGUCUUCGAAUAGAUCAGUAUAUCAUCAAUAAAUACAACCACGAAUCUAUCCAAAUAAGGUUGAAAAAUUCGAUUCAUCAAGUUCAUAAAUGCAGCAGGAGCAUUAGUUAAACCAAAUGGCAUUACCAGAAACUCGUAAUGACCAUACCGAGUUCUGAAGGCAGUUUUUGGCACGUCACAUUCUUUAACUUUCAGCUGAUAAUACCCAGAUCGAAGAUCUAUUUUUGAAAACACAGCAGCACCUUUCAACUGAUCGAACAAAUAAUCAAUGCGGGGCAAAGGAUAUUUGUUCUUGAUUGUAACCUUAUUUAACUGUCUGUAAUCUAUACACAAUCUCAACGAGCCAUCUUUCUUUUUCACAAACAAAACAGGUGCACCCCAAGGAGAUGUACUCGGUCUAAUAAACCCUUUAUCUAACAAUUCUUGUAACUGAGUCUUCAACUCUUUUAAUUCUGUCGGUGCCAUUCUGUAUGGUGUUACUAAUAUUGGAGCUGUUCCCGGGAUCACAUCAAUCACAAACUCAACUUCACGAUCUGGUGGUAAACCCGUCAAUUCCUCAGGAAACACAUCAGUAAAUUCAUUAACAACUGGCAACUGUUUCAACUUUGAUUCAAAAUCCCGAAUAUCAAGAAUGUAAGCUAAAUAUGCUUCAUUACCCUUCCGUAUUAGCUUCUGAGCUGAAAAGGCUGAAAUAAUUCGGACAUUAUCUUUCAUAUUUCCAAACUCAGCCAAAAUCAUUUCUCCUGUCUGAUUUUUCAAAUCAAUCUGUUUCUCUCGACAGUUCACUACAGCGUCAUGUUUUGUUAACCAAUCCAUUCCCAGAAUAAUAUCAAAUUCCCGAAAGGGUAAUAACAUCAAAUCAGCAGGGAAUUCACAGUCUUUCACUUUCAGUGGACAAUUACGACAUAUUAAAUUAACCAUCACACUUUGACCUAAUGGAUUAGUAACUUGUAUAUCAUAAUUAGUGGACUCAACAGAUAAUUUCUUUUCAGAUGCUAGCAUAGUGCAAAUAUAUGAAUGAGUAGACCCAGGGUCUACUAAUGCAUAAACAGUAACAUCAUAAAGAUAGAAAAUACCAGCAAUUACAUCAGGAGCCGUAGCCUCUUCCCUUGCUUGAAUGGCAUAGGUACGUGCUGGUGCUCUAUUCUCUGAUUGACUAACUGGUUCUCUUAUACUCGAACGGGUAGCCCCUGUAGCACUGCUCUGGCCCGAACGUCUACUUCUUUGGGGAGUGGUUCUCUGUAUCUCUUUUUGAUCCACUUCAUCUUUUUACAGCUGGGGGCAAUCUCGAAUAAGAUGAUUAGUAGCCCCACAUUUAUAACAAGCCCCCAUCUUAAUCCUGUAUUCACCGAAAUGAUGUCUUUCACAAUAUUGACACUUAGGCCGGGGAGUAUUCUGAACACUGCUCACACUUGCUGCAGGUCUAUCAAAUACCUUGAAAUCAGAUUGUCUUGAUCUACCUCUACCCAAUCUUCCCGGCACGGAUGUAGUUCGACUAAUUUCUUCUCUAGAUUCUUCACCGGCAAAUCUGAAAAUGACUUAGAAGCACCUCUUUUAAAUGACUCUUUAUUUUUCCGAUCUCUUUGCAUUUUUCUGUUAUAUACUUCUUCAAGCUUUUGAGCACGGCCUGACAGAACAACGAACUCUCGUAUUUCAUUAGCCCCAAUCAUCAUUCUAAUCUCAUCAUUUAACCCUUCUUCAAAUCUGAUACACAUUUCUUCUUCGGUAGGUACAAUGUCUCGAGCAUAUUUGCUGAGGUAGACAAAUUCUCUUUCGUAUGCGGCCACUGACUUAUUUUCCUGCCGUAGAUCAAGAAAUUCUCUCUUUUUCUUAUCUAGAUAUCUUUUCCCCACAUAUUUCUUUUUAAACUCGUUCUGGAAAAAUUCCCAAGUAAGCUUUUCUACAGGUACUACAGCUUCCACAGUUUCCCACCAAUUAUAUGCUUAUUCUUUUAACAAUGAAACGGCACAUCGUAGAUAAUCUUCCGGAGAACAAGUCAUCUGUUUAAAAAUUCUUACCAAACUUUGUAGCCAAUACUCAGCUUUUACAGGGUCAUCAUCUGAUCUCCCUCGAAAUUCCUCAGCUCCAAACUUCCUAAGCUUUUCGAUCGGAGAACAUUUACUAGUUUCAAUUAUUGAAGGAGGUAGAGGAGCAACCGGAGGUACCAUAGGUGGCGCAGUAGGGGGAGGAGGUGGUUGAGACUGACUUCUUUCUUGUAUCAUCUCCUUAUACCACUGAUUCAUAACUCCAUAAAUCAUAUUUUUAAGUUCUCACUCUCGCAUCAUAGAAAUUGGAAUAUCACUACUUGUUCCUUGUUCUGGAGUCUGCACCCUACUGUUAGCUUCCUCCUGUUCAGUACGUUCAGGUCUAUCUGACAUCUUUAUAAUCGGAGAGUAUCUAUAAAAAUGACAAAUAUUAGAUCGGAUCAUACUCAUCACACUAUCACAGAUUUAUAUGGCAUGUAUUUCUAAACACUUUACAUAUAACACAUGUUCCGAGAACCGGCUAAACCGGGCUCUGAUACCACUAAAUGUAACACCCCUUACCCGUAUUCAUCGCCAGAAUAGGGUAGGAGGCAUUACCGAAGUUUACCGAAUUAAUUUUCCAUUAAUACGUGUUAAAUACUAUUUAUUUACUAAAACAUGUCAUGGUGUCCUUUAGAUGGGCCUCCAAAGCCCAAAACAUACUUCGAGACCAAACUAGAAUUAAAUCGAAACCAUAGGGAAUUUUUCGCAAAAUCCCAAAGUGUUUUUUUUGUUUGCUCAAUAUAACCCUUUUAUAAAUAUCUAACAUUCCCUGCAAUUUUUAAAACCGAGACCAAUCCAACCAACCAAUUCAUUUCAAUCAAUUUAAUACAAAAUUAUACUUCUAUUAUAAUUAUACUAUUUAACAUACUCAUCAUUCUUUACUUUAAUGUAUAUUCAUUAAACAAGUCUCAAUAUUUAUAUAAUCACCAAGCCUUAUACAUGCCAUAUAAAUCAAAAAGGAAAUUUACAAAAGCUACCGGAGAUAAUCUGGAUAGUGUGAUCCUCUGUGUUGAUCCGAUCCUCCGUAUACUUCCACGUCAAUCUACAAGAGACAUUGAAUACACUCAAAUAAGCUUAUAAAAGCUUAGUAAGUUCAUAGGCAUAAAACAUAAAUCUUACCAAAUAUUUAUACACUUAUACUAUAUACACAAUUAUUAAGUUCACUUGUCAAUCACAGUCAUUGGUGAGUUCCCUAUAUAAACUCACUACCACUUAUCCAUUUCCAUUAAUUCUUUUGGGCCCAUUUGUCAUAUAUCAUUCUUUAACCAAAUUAGGGAAUGGUAAAGGAAAAUUGAGUACUUCACUUUCACUUUGCCAUAGUAUAACUAUGGUCUUGCAUAUGAUCACUUAUCACUUUUUAAAAUCAUAGCCCUGCCACGGUCAUACACUGAUCACAUUUAUCACUUGUCACUGAUCAGAUAAGUGUAGCUAAAGCUACCACUUAUCACUUGUCACUGAUCAGAUAAGAGUAGCUAAGCUACCACUUAUCAUUUGUCACUUAUCACUGAUCAGAUAAGUGUAGCUGAGGCUACCACUUAUCACUUAUCACUUGUCACUGAUCAGAAGUACUCAAAUUCGACAUUCCACUCAAUUUGAUCAUUUAUGCGAUUUUCAGGUUGUUAUUUUAUUUUCUAUUCAUCAAUAAAUAUAUUUCAUCAUACAUUAUAUAAUUCAUAAAAUUAACAUAUAAUCAUUAAACUUCAACCAUAUGAACUUACCUGGGUCGAUUUGUAAAAUUUGUGAAAAUUCAGGGACUAAUCAGCUACUUUUUCUUUUCCUCGACUUGCUUUGGGUUCUCGAUCUAUCAUUUUAAAAUCAUUCAUUUAUCAGUAUUGACUUCAUCUUCAACCCGCUUAUAAGUAAUAUUAUCUAUAAUUUAAUUGUUUACUUAUGUAUAUUCCAAUGUUGUCCAUCGGUGUCAUAGUCACUAAAUUAUUUUUAUCUUUAGCUACAGAACUCCAAAUUAGGAUCUGCUAAUUUUAUCUGAAACUAGACUCAUAUAUCUUCUUAUAAUAAAAUUUUUAGAAUUUUUGGUUUAGCCAAUAAGUACAGUUUAUUCUUUAAAGUCACCCCUAUUCUGCUGUCUGACAAUUCCGACCCUUCUUCACUAAAAAUUAAUUAUCUCUUCGUACAGAAUUCGGAUGAUGUCCAUGUUUGUUUCUAUUGAAAAUAGACUCAUUAAGGAUUUUAAAAAUAUAAAUUUAAGCCCCUAAUUAUUUUUCUCCAAUUUUUUAUGAUUUUUUAAAGUCAGAACAGGGGAUCCCGAAAUCAUUCUGACAUUGUCUCACAAAAUCUAUUAUAUCUCAUGAUCUACAAUUCCGUUGCUUACACCGUUUCUUCUAUGAGAAACUAGACUCAAUAAGCUUUAAUUUCAUAUUUUUUCAUCUUCUAAUUCGAUUUCUAAAAUUUAUGGUGAUUUUUCAAAGUUAGACUACUGCUACUGCCCAAAACCGUUUUAGUGCAAAUGUUGAUUUCGAUUUUUACCCCAAAUUUCACAGUUCAUACAAUUCAGUCCUUGCUAAAUUAAUCCCUCAAUGAAGCUAAUUAUUCCCAAUUAAUGCUUUACCUUAACAUUAUAAGUUAUUUCACAAUUAUUUAAAUUCAGAAUUUCCACAUAAAACUCUAACUUCAAACUUUUUCACCUUUAGAUCCCAAACAUUCACUUUCUAUUCAAUUCUUUCAAUAAAAUCAGCAUAUAAACAAUUUAAAACUCUAAUUCCAUGCUAAAUCAUCAUAUAAUUCCAGCACAUAUUCAUAUCAACUUUCAAUUUCUUUCAUAGAAUCAAAAACUAAUGAAUUCAACAAGUGGACCUAGUUGUAAAAGUCAUAAAAACACAAAAAUUUCAAGAAAUAAUCAAGAAUUGAACUUACUUGCAGUAAAAAUAUGAAAAAACAGCUUAAGAAAACCCUUCUAUGGUGUUUUUUCUGAUGAGAAUGCAGAAAAAUAAUGAGAAUUCUAGAUAAUUCCACUUUAGUCCUAGUUUAUUAAGUAAAUUUUUGCAAUAUUCCAAUUUUGCCCUUAAUUCAUCAAUUUUCCUGCUGAUUUCAUGCACCUUGCCGUCCAGCCCAAAUAGGCCUGGGGUCUAUUUGCCUUUUAAACCCUCUUUCUUUUAUCAUUUAAGCUAUUUCAUCAUUUUCCAUAAUUUUACAUUUGUUACAAUUUAAUCCUUUUUAUUCAAUUAACUAUCAAAACUUUAAAAUUUCUUGACGAAACUUUAAUACUAACUUAUUAACACUUCAUAAAUAUUUAUAAAAAUAUUUAUGGCUCGUUUUAAAAAUUUUCAAAUUCUCGAUAUCUCGUUUACGAUUCUAAUUUAAUUUUUUUUCAAGUACACUAUUCGUAUUUCAAAAAUUUUCCUAACUUCACACUUAACUUAUAUUCACUAAAUUAUUAAUAUUUUCUACUCAUUUGUCGGAUUUAGUGAUCUCGAAUCACUAUUCCGACACCACUGAAAAUUCAGGCUAUUACAAGGGAGCUGCCUCAGGUAUUACUCGAACAAUCAUUGUAUCUCAAAUUUAAACUCUUCUUGUACCCCUUCUCGAAGCUCAUUGUGUAAUGGCCUAAAUUCAAGGUUAUCGGAACAAUGGUUUCGUAACCAUAGAUCCGAUUUAAAGAGAAAUUUAUUUCAAUAUUUUUGCUUGAAAAUUGAUAUGAUAGGAAAAUCGUAUGAAAAUAUUGAUAGGAACAUUUUAUCGAUUUAGUGAUUAGUUAGAAAAAGAAAUUAUUGAAGAAAUUGGAUAAAAUAAGGUAUCGGGACCUCUAUCUCGUAAAACCGAGUCUAAAAUAAUUUUAUAAAUAUUUAUAAAAUGUUAUUAAUGUGGUAUUAAAAUAUCGUUAGGAAUUUUUAAUGUUUGGGUAGUCAAUUAAAUGAAAAUGACUAAAUUGUAAUAGGUGUAAAAGUUGCUAGAGUGAUUAAAUAGCUUAAGAGUCUAAUGAGAAAGGAUUUAAAAGGCAAUUAGGCGCAAAAGUUAUUUGGGCUGGAUGGCAAGGGUAUGAAAUCAGCAGAAAAAUUGAUAAAUUAAGGGUAAAAUUGGAAUAUUACAAAAUUAACUAAAUAAAGCUAGGACUAAAUAGGAAAUAUCUAGAUUUCUCUUCAUUUUUCUUCAAUUCCAGCAGCUAAAAUUGCCAUAGGAGGGUUCUCUAAGCUGGUAUUUCAUAAUUUUUGCACCAAGUGAGUUAAUCCUUGCCUUUUUCUUGUAAUUUUUGUGUUUCUAAGACUUUUACAACUAGGUCCUACUAUUAAAUUCAUUAGUUUUUGAUUUCAUGGAUGAAAUUGAAAGUCACCAUGGUUGAGUGUUGUAAGUUUAUGAUGAAAUAAAAUGAAAUUAAAGCUUUAAUUUGUUUAUUAGAUGAUUUUAUUAGGCAAUUUCAAUGGAAUUUGAUUUUAGGACCUAAUUGUGAAAAUGUUUGGAAUUAAAGUCUAUUGCUGAAAUUCUGAUUCCUAAAGGUUGUAAACUAGUUUAAGGUGAUAGAAUAAAAUGUUAAUUGAGAAAAAUCAGCUCAAUUGAGAGGCUAAUUGAGUAGGGACGAAAUUAUCAUUUAUUAAAAGCUUAGGGGAAAAAUGGUAAUAAACAGCUUGCACUAAAACAGUUUGGACAGCAGCAGUAGACUAACUUUGAAAAAUCACAAAAAAAUUGUGAGAAUCGAAUUAGAAGAUGAACAAAAUAUGGAAUUAAAGCUUAUUGAGUCUAGUUUCUCAUAGAAGAAAUAUUGUAAGCAAUGGAUUUGUAAAUUUUGAGAUAUAAUAGAUUUUGUGAGACAAGGUCAGAAUGAAUUUGGGUUCCCCUGUUCUGACUUUGAAAAAUUAUAAAAAAAAUUGAAUAAAAAUAAUUAGGGACUUAAAUUUAUAUGUAUAGAAUUCUGAAUGAGUCUAUUUUUAAUAGAAACAAACGAGAACAUCAUUUGAAUUCUGUAUAAAGAGAUAAUUUAUUUUUAGUGAAGAAUGUCAGAACUGUUAGAUAACAGAACAGGGGUGACUUUGAAGAAUAAACUGUACUGAUUGGCUAAACUAAAAAUUCUGAAAAUUUUAUGGUAAAAAUAUAUAUGAGUCUAGUUUCAGGGAAAAUUAACGGAUCUUAAUUUGGAGUUCCGUAGCUCAAGUUAUAAAUAAUUUAGUGACUAUGACUCAAGUAGACAGCUUUGAAUGAACUAUAAAUAAUAAUUGAAUUAUAGAGAAUGUUGCAUAUGAACAUGAAAUGUAUUAAAUUGAUAAUUAAAUUUAUUUAUUUAGAUCUAUAAGAUUCAAAUACGAAGCUAGAUCGAGGAAAGGAAAAAGUUCGGGAUUAGUAGAUUUUUACUGUUUACAAACAAGUAUCAAGGUAAGUUCGUGUAACUUGAAUUAUAUUCUUAAAUGCUUGAAAUGCAUGUUUUUGAUAUGAAUAUGAUUUGAAUGUUCAUUAUAUGGAAAUUUAUGAAACAUUGAUAUAUUUGAUAAAAUGGGAAGAAAUCCCGUUUGAAUGAAAGGAAAAUUCGAUGGAUCUCUGAAAAGGAAUUGACGGUAAAAAGGAUCUAGCCCGGACGGGUGAUCCUAUCCUGAUAUAGCCCUCUCGAAGAAUAUGUGUAAAAUGGAUUUAGCCCGGACGAGUAAUCCGAAUUAGGGUCUGAAUUUAGCCUGGACUGGUAAUUCAGAUCCAAGCUUAUUAGAGUAAUUGUCGUUGCAGGGGAUUUAGCCUGGACUGGUAAUCCCGACAAUACUCUAUGAGUUUAUAUUGCAGGGGAUUUAGCCUGGACUGGUAAUCCCGUUGUAAGGUUGAGGUUCGCGGGAGUGUGCUCUCUAAAAUGGAUAUGUGCGCACAUGAAUAUGAAUUGACAGAUCCGGAAUUGUACACUAAAAGUGUACCUCUGAAAAUCCAUCGAAAAUUUCGAUAAAUUCAACGGGAUAAGUAUAAAAAAAAUAACAAGGAAAUGGAAAUUAUGAUAUUGAUGAGCUCAUCAAUCAUGGUAUAUAUUAUUGGUACAUGGAAAUUAUUGUACUAACUUGAAUGUUGAGUUUGUGCAUAUUAGGGUAAUAAUGCAUUGAAUGGAUAUAUGGAUGUUUAUUGUAUUGUAUUGAAAAUAUUAGGUAAGUAUAAUUCUUGUUACAUGAGCUUACUAAGCACAAAGUGCUUACCCCGUUUCCUUUUUCCCUGUUUUGUAGUGUUAAGAGCUCGGAGGUCGGAUUUGGUCGGAGACACAUCACACUGUCAACCUCAGGAUUUCGGUAUAUAAAGAAACUUUAUUUUGGAAAUCAAUGGCAUGUAUAAGCUAACAAAGUAAAUGUUAACGUGAAAUGAAUGUAAAGUUAGCCAUUAGUAUGGUUAACAAACCUGGUUAUAGAUAUGUGAUGACGUUAUCUUAUAUAAAUGCAUGAAUCUAUCAUGAAAAUAUGUUGAAUUGAUUUGGUUGAUGUGGAUUGGUCUCGAUUUAAUAUUACAGGGAAGGUUAGAUAUUUAUAAAAGGGCUAUAUUGAAUAUAAAAAAAAUUUAAUUCGUAAACUCCGGUAAUACCUCGUACCCUAUUCCGGCAAUGAAUACGGGUAGGGGUAUUACAUUUAUUGGUAUCAGAGCUACGAUUUAGCCGGUUCUAGGACCGAUGUAGCAACUACGGUAUUAGCUAUACAUGCCAUUUAAAUUAUUAUUGAUAGUGUGAUAUCUCCUGACCAUUUAAAAUGUGUUUUUAUUAUAGUAAUGUCAUCCGACUGAGCUCAAUCUGAGGAAGCUGGGAGUCAUGCUCCGGCUUCAGUACAAAGAGAAGAACUAGCAGUAGAAGGCCCGAGACAGAGGGUCGAGGGGAGGAGGCAAAAACAGCCUUCUUUCAAAUGAUGAAUGAAUGGUUUAAUCAAUACUUAAGAACUAACCCUGUAGUGCAACAAGUUCAAGCUCCUCCUUCUGCUCCUCUACCGGUUCCCGAGAUCCCACAAGGUACAGGUAUUGAAUCUGUCAGAAAAGGGAAAGCUCCAGUAGAUAAAAUUCGAAAAUAUGGGGCCGAAGAAUUUCGAGCAGCAGUUGAUGAUGAUUCCGAACGGGCUGAAUUCUGGUUAGAAAAUACUACUCGGGUUCUGGAAGAAUUAUCUUGUACACCAGAAGAAUGUCUAUAAUGUGCCGUUUCACUGCUAAAAGAUACAACUUACCAUUGGUGGAAUACUAAAGCUUCAGUUGUUCCGAAAGAAGAAAUUACAUAGGAAUUCUUUCAGACCGAGUUAAGAAAAAAAUAUAUCAGCCAGAGGUUCCUUGACCAGAAAAGAAAAGAAUUUCUUGAGCUGAAACAGGGCAAUAGAUCAGUAUCUGAAUAUGAAAGAGAAUUUGUUCGAUUGAGUAAAUAUGCUCGAGAAUGGGUACAGUCAGAAGCUGAAAUGUGCAAACGAUUUGAAGAAGGGUUGAAUGAAGACAUUAAGUUAGUGAUUGGAAUUCUUAAAAUUCGAGAGUUUGCGACAUUGGCAGAGAGCUUAUAAAGCAGAAGAAUUGAGCAAAGAAAAGAAACAGGCUGAGAGGGAAGCUCGAAUUUUUAGUAAAAGACCGAUGGGAAAAUCCCAGUUUUCUGUUUCAAAGAAAUUGAAGAAAUAUCAAGAUCGUUCUACUUCAGCCAUUGGGUAUUCGGGCAAAGAGCGAGGUUCUCAACGCACUAAUCCAAUGCCUUUUACUCCAUUAGUGACCAGUGUUGGCAGUGUUGGCACUCCUAAACCGAGAUGCCAGUACUGUAAUAAAGCUCAUUUUGGUGAAUGUCGAUUUAAGAGUGGGGCUUGUUACCGAUGUGGUUCUUUUGACCAUUUCCUCAGAGAUUGUCCAAAAAGGGUUGAAAAAGAAGUUGAACAUAUAUCGAAGCCGAGUAAUCUAGUUUUGAGGGGCAGACCACCUCGACCAUCCGGUAAUGUCAGUGGUAGUCGAGGAGCUACAAAAGAUACUAUAGGUAAGCCUGAGGUACGAGCACCUGCUAGGACAUAUGCCAUUCGUGCCAGAGAAGAUGCUUCAACACCCGAUGUUAUUACUGGUACAUUUUCUUUACUUGAUACUGAUAUUUCUGCAUUGAUUGAUCCUGGUUCUACGCAUUCAUAUAUAUGUGUUAAACUUGCAAUUGUUAAAAAUUUAUCUGUUGAACUUACUGAAUUUGUGGUUAAAGUCUCGAACCCUCUAGGCCAGUCUGUGUUAGUGGAUAAAAUUUGUAAAAAUUGUCCACUGAUGGUAAGAGGUUAUUGUUUCCCGGCUGAUUUGAUGUUACUGCCAUUUGAUGAAUUUGACGUGAUAUUGGGUAUGGAUUGGUUAACCCAGCAUGAUGCGGUAGUAAAUUGUAAACAAAAAUAUAUUGUGCUAAAAUGUCAGAAUGGUGAGUUGCUCCGGGUUAAAUCUGAUCAGACAGAGGGGUUAUCUGAUAUGAUUUCAGUAAUGGCAGCACAGAGGUAUGUCAAAAAGGGGUAUGAAGCUUACUUGGCUUAUGUACUAUACACCAAGGUAUCUGAGUCAAAGAUACAGGCAGUUCCAGUGGUAUGUGAAUUUUCCGAUGUGUUUCCAGAAGAAUUACCAGGAUUGCCACCAGAAAGAGAAGUGGAAUUUUCUAUAGAUUUGAUUCCGGGAACUACUCCGAUCUCCAUAGCUCCGUACUGGAUGGCUCCUAUAGAAUUAAAAGAGUUAAAGACACAGUUGUAAGAGCUUAUUGACAGGGGUUUUGUCCGACCGAGUCAUUCACCUUAGGGUGCUCCGAUUCUGUUUGUGAAAAAGAAAGAUGGGUCUUUGAGAUUGUGUAUCGACUAUCGGCAGCUUAAUAAAGUAACCAUAAAGAAUAAGUACCCGUUACCCCGGAUUGAUGAUUUAUUUGAUCAGCUGAAAUGUGCUACUAUGUUUUCAAAGAUUGAUCUUCGAUCAGGUUAUUAUCAGUUACGAGUAAAGGAGUCAGAUGUGCCAAAAACAGCCUUUAGAACCAGGUACGGGCAUUAUGAGUUUCUAGUUAUGCCGUUUGGGCUAACUAAUGCACCUGCAGUAUUCAUGGAUUUGAUGAACCGGAUAUUCAGACCGUACUUAGACAGAUUUGUAGUAGUAUUCAUUGAUGAUAUUUUGGUUUAUUCUCGGGAUGAAGAAGAACAUGCAGAACAUUUGAGAAUUGUGUUGCAAAUUCUACGAGGGAAGCAGUUGUAUGCUAAAUUCAGUAAAUGUAAAUCUUGGCUUCGAGAAGUGGGUUUUCUUGGACACAUUGUAUCUGCCGAAGGCAUCCGGGUAGAUCUAAGUAAAAUCUCAGCUAUUGUCAAUUGAAGUCCACCGAAGAAUGUAUCUGAAGUUAGAAGUUUCUUGGGUUUAGCUGGUUAUUAUCGGAGAUUUGUACAGGGAUUCUCUAUGAUAGCUUCUCCAAUGACUCGAUUAUUGCAGAAAGAUGUAAAGUUCGAGUGGACUGAUGAAUGUCAACAAAGUUUCAACCGAUUGAAAGACCUAUUAACGAAAGCACCUGUAUUAGUGCAGCCUGAACCGGGUAAGGAAUUUGUUAUUUACAGUGAUGCCUCAUUAAAUGGUUUAGGUUGUGUUUUGAUGCAAGAAGGUAAAGUAAUAGCCUAUGCUUUAAGACAACUUAAACCAAAUGAAAGAAAUUACCCAGUACAUGAUCUUGAAUUAGCUGUUAUUGUAUUUGCGCUGAAUAUAUGGCGGCAUUACUUGUACGGUGAGAAAUGUCAUAUUUAUACUGAUCAUAAAAGCUUGAAAUAUUUGAUGACACAGAAAGAUUUGAAUUUGAGACAGUGCAGAUGGCUUGAACUGAUAAAGGACUGUGAUUUGAUUAUUGAUUACCAUGCAGGUAAGGCUAAUGUUGUAGCUGAUGCUUUGAGCCGGAAAUCUCUGUUUGCUUUACGAGCUAUGAAUACUAGGUUAUCAUUGACUGAUGAUGGUUCAAUCCUAGUUGAAUUGAGAGCUAAACCGACAUUUUUACAGCAAAUAUGUGAAGCUCAGAAGAAUGAUGAGAAGUUACAGGUUAAACGGGCACAGCGUGAGUCAGGUAAUGAUUCUGAAUUUCAGAUUGGUUCUGAUGAUUGUUUAUUAUUCAGAGGUAGGGUAUGUGUACCUCAGAAUUCAGAGCUCAUACAGAAGAUUCUACACGAGGCCCACAAUAGUACAUGUCUGUACAUCCGGGGAGUAAUAAAAUGUAUAAUGAUCUGAAAAAGAUGUACUGGUGGUCGGGAAUAAAACGUGAUAUCUCUGAGUUUGUAUCAAGGUGUUUAAUAUGUCAACAAGUUAAAGCUGAACAUCAGGUACCUUCAGGGUUACUUCAGCCAAUUACUAUACCGGAAUAGAAAUGGGAAAGAAUCACUAUGGAUUUUGUAUCGGGGCUACCUUUGUCUCCGAGGAAAAAAGAUGCUAUUUGGGUGAUUGUUGAUUGAUUAACAAAGUCAGCUCACUUUAUUCUGGUAUGUAUGGAUUAUUCUUUAGAUAAACUAGCUGAACUGUACAUAUCUGAGAUUGUCAGGUUACAUGGAGUGCCUGUCUCCAUUAUAUCAGAUAGAGAUCCCCGAUUUACGUCUCGUUUCUGGGACAAAUUGCAAGAAGCCUUGGGUACUCAGUUGUAUUUCAGCACUGCAUUUCAUCCUCAGACAGAUGGUCAAUCUGAGCGUGUAAUUCAAGUAUUGGAAUAUAUGCUCUGAUGUUGUAUACUAGAGUUUGAAGGUAAUUGGGAGAGGUAUCUACCUUUGAUUGAAUUUGCUUACAAUAACAGUUAUCAGUCUAGUAUUAAAAUGGCUCCGUACGAAGCUUUGUAUGGUAGAAAAUGUAGAACACCGUUAUAUUGGACAGAGCUCAAUGAAAGAAAGAUACAUGAGGUUGAUUUGAUCCGGGAAACAAAAGAAAAAGUAAAGGUUGUUCGAGAUAGUCUAAAAGCAGUUUCCGAUCGUCAAAAAUCAUAUACCGACCUUAAGCGAAAAGAGAUUGAAUUUCAAGUCGGUGACAAGGUAUUACUAAAUUUAGGCUCCGUUUGUUUGCCAGUAAAAUAUUUUCUGGAAAAUGAAUUCCUUUUCUGGAAAUGACUUACUUUUCUGGUGUUUGGAUGAAUCUGUGUAAAAUAUUUUAUGUUGUUUGGCAGAUUUCCUGAAAAUAUUUUCCGAAAAAGUUGUUUUUACAUAUAUUAAUAAAUUUAUAUAUAUAUUAAUAAAUUUAUAUUUUAAAUUGUUUUUACAUAUAUUGUAAUGAUUUAUUUAUAAAUAAAUAAAUCAAAUUAAAUAUGUAAUAAAUUAAAAACAACUAGCUUAUGGAAACGGAGACCUAAGAGCAGCAUACCCCAUAACUCAAAUGCAUCCAAAAAAGCAAAAGAAAUCUUUAUCCUGUCCUUUUUGCCCAUUAGAAAAACACUUUUUUGAUUAUCAUCCAUCCACAAUCAUCCAUCCAUACCUCUCUAUCUCCCUUUAGUCCUUAUUUUGCAACCUCAAUUCCCAUAUUUCAUAUCCUAGAAAAAAAUCAACUGCCCCAUUUGUUUCUAAAUUAUGGGAUUGUUUAGUUUCCACUUAACAGAUCCCUCACCUUGCCUUUCCUCAAUCAACCUCUCACCUUCCUCAUCAGCCUAUCCAACUUUCUUCUCUGCUUCUUUAGCCUUCAAAGCCUGUAACUUGGCAUGGUUAUAGUAAGCAAUACCCAAAAAAUGUGCAACCCCAUAACCAAAUAAGUUGAUGGGUGUGACGGUAUCCUUAAUGACAGACCAUGAGAAUGCAAUUAAUAACCAGUCCUUAACAACCCUAGCUACAUUCAUGGUCAAAGCAGAUGUUUUUGCAACGAGAAGGAAACCAGAUAGAUUCAGAGCAAAAGCGCAGAAAGGAAGUUGUCUGGAAUAAUUAUCCAAAAAGUUAAAAGAAGUUAGAGAAGACAGUAUUCACACCUGAUAAACAUAGGCUUAUAAUGUGGAAGAAUAUAAGUUAAUCAAUAGGAAGAUUUUUUUUUUUAAGUUAGGUCAAGUGGAAGAGUGAGUUGAGAGAGAAACGCUUCUUCCACACUUGAGAAGAACUGAAAUUAUAUUGAUUUAGUACCGAUUGUAAGCUUUCCCAAAAUCUUCACGCCUCUGACGUUGAAACUCACCAUAAGAGUCAUAAAGCCUAGAGGAAUAAUUUUCCAUAAGAUUUGAGUACCUCACACACUCAUCUCUAACAUUCAACCCACACUCAUCUCUAACAUUCAACCCACACCAUAAGAAGCCCAUAAACAAUCUAAAUGAUGUAUGGCUUUCCAUAAACAGAGAUAGUCUAAGGGUAUACAGAUUAGCCCUAUAAGGAUGAGCAAGAGGGAAGAAGUCUACACAGCACUCCAGGAAUAUGUUCUAGUAAGAAACAAAGUAAGAACAAAAACCUUUGUUUCCGGCUUUAGAGUUUUGAACUUCGUGGUGUUCAUUGUAGUUAAUUAACAGUACAGAAAGUUACAAUCCAACAUUGAUAACUAAGUUAUAAAAAAUUUUACCUUAUCUGAGAAGGAUAUAGGCUUGUCAAAGAAACCAUUUAGCACCAAAAGCACACACGAUAGUCAAACAAGAUAAACAUCUUACUUUUCGAUACUUAUAAUUCUCUUCAUCUUCUUCCUUAUCACGAAUUCUUCCAAGUUCCAUUGCCUCUAUCUUAAAUUCCAACUCCAACUCAUCUAACGUUUGAGGGAAGGCAUGGUAUUCAAACUGAUUGCCAGAUUGCAAGUCAGAUCCCCGUCUCAGUAUCCCAUCCCUCAGUUCUAUAAGCUCCCAUGUUUCGAUUAUGACCAUCAUAGGAAUUAAAUGAGUUGCCACCAUAAGGUAAACAGCCUGGGGAUUUAAAGUGGCUCGAGCGACUUUUAGCUCAAUCAUUACCAUAAGCUUCAUGGAAUGAAGAGUAUGGUAAGCACUUGAUUCAAAUGCACAAAGAUCAGCUUUUAACUAGACACAAUAUCUUAUAUUCACAAAGUGCACCCAUCCGUUGCAAUCCACAAAUGCUUUCAGUAAAUAAAUUUUAAAGUAACAAUAAGCACUGUGAUCGAAUCUGUAAUGAAGAAAAAUGGGUUCAUCAGAAAAGAAAAACCAAAGUUAAACAUCAGAAAAGACAACACCCUUUCCCCAUAACAAUUUUUUUUGUUCUUACCUUCGAGAGAAGAAGAUGAAUGCCAGUGCAGAUUUUGACAACGAAAGGCGAAGAUGGGUAAAAGCUUUGAUGAACGCCGGUGUCUGGUGUUGAGAAUCAGUGUUGGCUGACGGCAAGCAGAAGAUCAGGUGUCAAGGAUGGGGGAAGGGGAAGGGGAAGCAGAAAAUCGGUGUUGGCUUCUAAUUUUCCUGAAAAUGUCUUACCGAAUUAGAAACGGUAAGACAUUUUCCAAGAUUAAGGGGUUCUUUUCCCAUAUUUUGUAAUUGAUUUUCUCUUGGGAAAAUAUUUUCAGCCAAACAAACAAUGGAAAAGGCUGAAAAGCUUUUCCAGAAAAUGUUCUACUUCCAAACAAUCGACCCUUAGUAAUAUCAAUUCAAUUAUAAAUUUCUUUCAAAGAUAUUACUAUAUGUUGUUGACUUUUUUUAUACCAAUUCAAGAAGGUAUUAUAACCACAAGGGAGAAAG